rnacentral:lncRNA from 1 species
AUUUUUAAUCUCGAAUUCAAUGAGAUUCUCGAUUCGUACUGGGUUUUCCCACUAUUUUUGAUUCCUUAUUCUUGUAUCUUAUAUCACGGGAUAAUGUGGAGCGUUCACAUCAUUUUGAUCUAUUGUCGUGCUAUGGAUAGGGCCCUAAAUUUUGAUGAUGAUGUUGAUGAUGGCGAUUUCUUUUGAUUCAGAUGAUUUCUUUUGAUUUAGAAGCCAUGGAUAACCCUGCAUUGUGUACUAUAGGUUAUCAGGUGAUCGUGGUCGAGUAGAAUGGAUAUUGAUGAGGUGCUGUGUGGUGUCCGAGUUGUAAACCUUCCCGCAAAGAGUGCAAUCUAUGUAUGGGGAUACAACCAUAGCGGGCAGACGGCAAGAAAGGGCAAGGAAUGCCAUCUGAGAAUUCCCAAAAGCCUCUCUCCAAAGCUUUUUAAAUGUGGACUGGAGAAUCUGCGGUGGCUGGAUAUUGCUUGCGGUCGUGAGCACACCGCAGCUGUAGUCUCUGAUGGGUCAUUGUUCACGUGGGGUUAGUCCCAUUCCUUGCGUAAUCUGGUUGUAUUUACAUUCAACUGCUUAUCAUAUGAAUUUUAAGCUUACGAGUUAAUAGAGAAUUAAAUAUCAUGGAAUGAUGGGAUGUUCCAAUAAAUGUCAUCAUCUUUGACAUCGAAGGAUUAAAGGACCAUUUUGAUGCACCUGAACCUGAUGGGCUUUGUAGCCAUCUGAUCAAUAUCUUUAAUUCUUAUAUAGCAGAUAGAUGCUACUAGGUGUUUUUAGCUUAAGUCACUCUACAGCAUUGACUUGAAAGAUUGGGAAUGACAUUUGGAAUGAUUGGAAACUAAAUACAGGAAAGAAAAUAUGAAAUAGAUGUCUUAGAUCAUAUCAUAAAAUGUCCUUUUUGUCUCCAUGUGCUUGUUUAUAAUCUUGGUCACUAAUUCCUUCUUAGGAAGGAGAGAUUUAUACUACAACAGGAACCUCUUCUUUUAAGUAAUUGAUUGUCAGGUUGGCGUAUUAUUAUCUUUCAUAGAUUUUGGCACAGCUGACUGUAUACUCAUGCAUUUCAUUUCCAAUGGGGAAGAGCAGGUUCAAAUGAUUAUGGUCAAUUAGGAGAUGGAACUGAGGAGAGCACGAAGCAACCGAAAAAGGUUAAACUAUUGCAAACUGAAUUUGUGAAAGCUGUGUCGUGUGGAGCACACUGUACAGCUGCUAUUGCAGAACCCCGAGAAAAUGAUGGCACAUUAUCUAGAAGUAGACUUUGGGUGUGGGGACAAAAUCAGGUAUGACUAAUGCUUUGUGUUUACACAGUUGUGAAUCACAUUUUUUAAGUUCUUUAUAUCAUCUGGUAACAUAAAGUCAGUCAUAAAUAAGUCAAUUCUGUUUCUCUCAGGGUUCGAAUCUUCCACGCUUAUUUUGGGGGGCCUUCACUCCAAACACAGUAAGUUAUGUGCCUAUGCAUUUUAUUGAAUUGAGAUUUAAUUAUCCUUGUUUUCGUAUAUUUUACUGCUGCAUAUGUUGGAUCUUUGAGGUCAAAUAUUUACGUGCUAUAUGUGCUUGACUGUAUUUGUCCUUUGCGUCUCAGGAGAGCUGUCUAUUUGUCCUUCUACUACUACACUUUUUUUUUUAUUUUUUUUGAAUGGUCAAUCAUUCCUUGUAUGUCAAAACUCAAAAGUUGCUUGAAUCAAGCGUGAUUACUAAUACUAAUUAGAUACAACUUGAUUUGCCUUCUGUUAUUUUUCCUGAAGGAGCAUGUCACCUUAGCAAACUAAUGCUUUCUUCUGUAGUUGAGCUGGUUAACUUGCUUCUAUCUAUUAGGACAGCAUCCCUCGACCUUUCAGAAGGCGUUUGCUAGUUGCUAAGCAUGUUUUUGGACCUGUAUUUUGACGCCUAGUUUGGGCCCUUUGUUUUGUUUGCAGCUAUUCUUUAAUCCUUCAUAUUAAACUGCAGUUCACUCAAAAGUAUGGCAUCUUAUCCACAAAAGCUGUAAUUGUUUGUGUCCAACUUGCUGAUAUAUGUUUAUGGCUCAUCAUUUCAUUUAUGCAGUUCAAGAAAUUGCCAUGCACCUUGUUAGCCUCGAAUUGUUUAUAUUGGUUAACCAAAUCAUGUAAAUCCCUUUUGAAUCUUGUAUAGUUCAUGGUAGAUGUAAAAUAUAAAAUUUUCUUUCAUAUAAUGCUGCAUUAAACUUGUUGUCUUGUUCCCUGUAGAUUUAGAGGUGUUUGAAAUAAUAAGGUUCUUUUUCUUACAACCCUUCCCUUGUUCCCCCCAAAAUAAAAAAAAAAAUCGAGUGACGCAUAGUUAAUAUCACUGUCUUUUUAACUUGCAUCGUAUAAAAUGUUUACCUAUGCUAGUCAAAAAAAUGCAUUAAUGUAUCUGUGUCAUCCCCUUGCCUCUACUUCAUUUGGCAGUUUGCAAAUUCUUGUUGUAUUUUCUUUUUUGUGCAGGUUAUUCGUCAGGUUUCUUGCGGAGCAGUUCAUGUUGUAGCCCUAUCUGAGGAUGGCCUUCUUCAAGCAUGGGGUAAUAAAGAAUAUAUAACUUCACUUUUGGUUGUCUUCUGUUUUCCAUCAAGCAUGUUUCCAAACCUUGUUUCUCAUUAGGUGUUUUGAUGAUUUGUCAUAUGUUGGAUGACUCUUUUUUGAAGUUGUAUCUUUUAAGUUCAGAAUUUGUCCCGAAUGUCUUGUUUUUACGUUAGGACAACACAAUGCAUAAGCAUGUACUUUGCUGCUGUUCUUUUUGUGUGUGUUUGUUUUUUUUCUUUUGCUUUGCUGUCGUGGUACUUGUAAAGCCAGAUCUUUGGGGCAAACAACUGCCCAUCCUUCUUAGCAGUUACUACCUCUUAUUUACUUGGAUGUGUGUCACUGUUCUGACAAACCAGGCUACAAUGAGUAUGGUCAGCUCGGCAGAGGCUUCACGUGUGAAGGACUACAGGGAGCUCGUCUAUUGAGUGCUUAUGCUAAGUUCCUAGAUGAACCUCCUGAGCUUGUGAAGAUCAUACAUGUGUCAUGUGGGGAGUACCACACUGCUGCAAUCUCAGAAUAUGGCGAGGUGUAAGUUAUUUGAAAGGAUGCUGAUUUUUGAAGUUGACUCUUCUUUCAGAGAUAACAUAAUGUGGUUUGCUCGCAUGACACAAGUAGCACUAAGGCCUUCUAAGAAGCUCUUUUCAACAUAGUUAGAAUAUGAGGUAGUGCAUAAGCCAACAAAGUUUUUUUGUUAGAUAUCUACUUGCUUUCAAUGAAGGAUUUUGGUGCUGUGGCACGGGGAUGUGUUGUGCCGUCACAAGAAAUACCUACGCGCCUACGCAUAAUGGCAUGAACUUUUUUUUUUUUUCUUUAUUAAUUUUUUUGAACUUUAUUGAGAAAAGUACUUGCUAAUUUUAAAGAAAAAAGAGUUUUGACCUAUGCAAUUGGUCGGGACAGGGUCAUAUCGCGCCGAUAUCUUGUCGCCGGGUGCCAAUGGACACUUAAAAUCUUUGUUUUCAAUUACCGCAUCCUCAAACCAAAUACUAUCAACUACUAGUUGGUUGAAUGUGUUUUCAUUUUGGUUGUCUUUCAUCAUCCUUCAUCAUUUUAUGCAACUAGUUUUGGUUGUUCUGCUGAUUUGUAUCAAUAAGCUGCUUCAAUUUAUCUUUUUAGGUUAGUUCUCCUUGAUAGCAUAAGUCUAGGUGUCUGUUGCAAAAUAAGCUAUGUUCAGGUAACAUCUGUACACUUCUACCUAAAGGAUAUCUCCGUGGGCUAGCAAAUAAACAUUUUGAUAUCUGUGAUGUAAUAAUGUUUCUUCUAAAUAUAUCUUUUAUGAGUGCUGAUUAUUUCUCUAUUGCGUAUGUUGCCAGCUCAAAAUCAAAACUCAAGAGGUAUAGUAGUACAGUUGCAUCUUUAAUAGAAAAUCAAAGAGGAGUGAUUAAUUAUUAUGUAAUUGCUUCCAGACUGCAUUAUUUGAUAUCCACAAGAUAGGAGUGGACGGAAGUGGCUAAUAGAAGUAAUAAGAGAAAAAUGGAGACGUGCUACUAGAUUACUUAAGAGCUAGCAAGGAAGAUACUGUACUUCGCAAUUCGUAUUGCUUUUUAUACCAGUCUCCUAAUCUUUUCUUCAUGUACCUGUGAUAUUGCACCUACUCAUUAUUUGUCUGAUCUCAUCAACAGUGCCUAAAGUGACUAUGCUAGAAUUACUAUAUCUGAAAUGUUUCCUAUUUCAGACUACAGAUGCCAGGGCAGUUAAUUAGAUGAUGUAUAGAUUUCAGUUGUCUAGUCUUUUCAAAAAGUUUCCGAAGUUGUUUAUGUUCUUUUACAUCUUAAUUGUCCAGGGCAUUUGGUAGUCUUGUCUUGAUGGCGUUGUGUAUCUCUUGAUUCAGAUUUGCAAGACUUUUAGUGCUUAAAAUUUGAUGUCUCUUUCUACGAUUAUUUCUUAUGAUCAUAUGUAACUUGCAUCAAGUAUAUCAUCCCCAAACUGAAAGUAAAAGCAAUAGUGCUUUGUUUUCUCAGGGUUUUAGGGUUUUCCACACAACUUCGAAGCUAUCAAAUUCUACCAGCAUCAAUUGUUGAUAUAUAUUUUUUUUUCUCCUCUUGUGCCACUCUUGGUUGAUAUUCACAUAAUGCUGAUACUUGUUGGUGAACAUAUGAAAACACCAUUUGCUUCUUGGCACCUAUGUUAAUUUUGUAUUUGUUAUGACUUAUUUCUGUAUCUUUUUUUUAAUUUUCGAGGGUUUUUUUCUUUUCUUUUUUUUUGAGGGGCCUCCUUUAACUUUCGGAUUUUACAGGUACACUUGGGGGCUAGGAAGUAUGGGGCAGCUUGGACAUUGCUCCCUUCAAUAUGGAGAUAAAGAGCUACUUCCAAGACGAGUGGUUGCUCUUGACAGUAUAGUCAUCAAGGAUGUUGCUUGUGGUGGUGUGCAUACAUGUGCUGCAACUGCAGAAGGUGCCCUCUAUGCGUGGGGUGGUGGGCAAGCAGGGCAGUUGGGUCUGGGCCCCCAAAAUGGCCUCUUCUCGUGCACACUUAAUGGGUCUGAGAUGCUGCUCCGUAAUCUCCCAGCAUUUAUCAUACCAUCUGGGGUGCAACUUGUGACUUGUGGUCAUUCUCACACCCUUGUCUCCAUGAGGGAUGGGAGGAUAUAUGGAUGGGGCUAUAACAAUUAUGGCCAGGCAGCGAAUGAUAAAUCUACUUACGCGUGGUACCCUUCUCCUGUUGAUUGGUGGGUUUUUUUAAAAAAAAACUUUUCUCUCAAGCCUUUUCUUGCUUUAGCAAUUUAUUUGGAUUGGUGAUUUCUUUUCUUUUAUGCGGAAGGUGUGUGGGAGAGGUGAGAAGAUUGGCAGCAGGUGGUGGUCAUUCAGCUGUUUUAACAGAUGCUUGCUCGUUGAAGGAAUUGUGUGAGUUCAAGCUUGCUGAGAGUGUCAAUCUGUCUAAUGCUUUCCUAAUUGAGGACGUUGCAUCCCGGACAGGUGCAGAUUCCUUGUCACGCCUGUGUGAAAGAUUAAGGUAUCAUCUGCACCUACAUUUUGGGACUAUGCACUGACUGAUUUGUUUUUAUGAACAAGAGAAUUACUAGUUUCUGCUUGGUGCUUUUGAGGCCGCUGCUUUAUGUUAAAUCCAUGUGUUGUCUUUUCCAACUGACCCUACAUUUCUUGUUUAAGUGAUUGUAGGUUUUUUACUUCAGCAAUUACUGUUGGUCCAAAAUUUUUUAUUGUUAUUGCCUUGGGUCCAACCAAAUUCUGCACGCAAAUUGCACCUUUUCAUCUAUUUCCUAGUGAAAAUAUUGUAAGACGUCAUUCAAUAGCUGGAGUGACUCAUUUGGAGCACUGACUUGGGAAACCAAUCUUUUGCUUGGAAAGUUGUACUGAUUCGUUAUCGACUCUUGCAGGGAACAUUUUCUUAAUCAAAUUGACUGUGACUGCGAAGAGAACGUGGACACUGACUAAAUGUACUCUCUGCCACAUUCAUCAUUCUAUACACGGUAUGAUUUAUUUUUAUAAGUACAUUAGUUAGAAAUAUAGACUCAUUUUUUUAAGUUGUAUUUUCCAAGUAAGCUACGGACAAUGAAACUGCAUGUUGUCUCUUGUUAAUUAUCAUGUGCAUUUAGGAAAGAAAGGAUAGAACUGUCUCUGUCUCUCUCUCUAGCCUGCAAACAUAAUAUGGCGUAGCUAGUGGGAUUCUUGUGACUGCUUGCACUGCUGAUAACUUGCAUUUUUAUUAGUAAGGUAUUGCAGUCAUUUAAUUUCUGUAAGACAUGGAAAAAUAGAGCUAAGCAGUUAUUAGCAUUUCAGUAUGCCAUCAUACCAUGUGCUUGCUGCCCCUGUUUUGGUUGAAAAGUGAACAAGUACCAACAACACUAGUGUGAAAGCUUUUAGUAUAUAUGUUUUUAUCAGCGUUAAGGCAUGUAUUUAGAGCAGUUCGCUUUCUUUACAGCACAGUGAGGAUGAUGUUAUGCAUUUCAUGAUGCUUGUUAAUAGCUGCUGUGUUUCAGCCUAUGAUUUUCGUAUGUAAUCACAGGUGAAUCCUUACCUUUUGUUAUGAGAUUCACUCAGAUUUCUUAGGUCUAGUAUUUAUUCUGUUAAGACUUGACAUUGAGAAAAGAGCUUGGGCAUACCCAUGUGCGUUUGGGUGCGCGUGUGGGAUGCGUGUGGGUGGGUACGUGUAUGGGGUGGGUGUGCGGGAUGCGUGUGGGUGCGUGCGUGUGGGGUGGGUGCGUGCAUGUGUGUGGGUGUGUAUGCACAUGUGCGUGUGCCUGCACGGCAUGCUGGGCAUGUGUGUGUGGGUGUGUGCGCAUGUGUGGCAUGCUGGGCAUCUGUGUGGGGGUAGGGUGUGGGCAUGUGUGUGUGUGCGUGUGUGGCAUGCUGGGCAUCUGUGUGGGUGGGUGUAGGGUGUGGGGUGUGUGGGUAGACGCGUGUGGGUGAGGGUGCGUGCGUGCGGGGUGUGGCUUGGUGCGUGUGUGCGUGAGUCGGUGUAUGGGUGUGGAGUGUGGGUGGGUGGGUGUGGGGCGUAUGGGUUGGGACUGGGGGCUGCGUGUGGGUGGGUGGGGUGUGGGGUGUGGGGUGUGGGGGUGCGUGUGGGUAGGCGGGCGUCAGGUGUGUGGUGGACAUGAUGGGUGCAUGGGUUGGUGGGUGUGGGUGUCUGUGUGAGCGCGCUUGUGUGUGCCCGCCCACAGCACGUGUGUGGGUGUGCUUGUCAGGUCAGCGUAGUGGGCGGUAGGGGUGGGUCUGGGUGUUUGUUGGGUAUGCUUGUGGGUGCAUCGGCGUGCGGGUGUGUAUGUGUGAGGCUUCAUGGCACGCAGACAGGCAUAUGCCAAUGUAUAAAGUUUUAUUUGCAACAGUUUACAGAAUAUAGUGUGCAAUAGAUGCAGUAAUAAGUUUUUGAGAGUGUGUGCGUGCACGCGCAUAUUAAAGUUUUAUUUGCAGCAGUUCACAGAAUAUUGUGUGCUUAAUAGAUGCAGAGAUAAAGAGUGCUGAAGCAUCGACAGUGAUAUACUUAAAAAGGAGCAUGAGUUCGUCGUGUCUACCCCGCAUGUGCAAAUGAACAUAGCGCAGACGAGAGAAAUGAACGCACAUUUUGUGCAUCCACGCACGGGUGCAUUUGUCUACACACGUGUAUGGAGGGAAAACCCUAAACGCUUCUAAACGUGCGUAUUGAACACAUUUGCGAACACGUCCAGGUAAUUGCUCAUAAAAAAAUUAACAUUUGAGCCCAAAACAAACACUAUUUUGAAGAGAUUAUCACCUGCACUGUGUAUGUCAAAUCAGCCGUUUAUCCUCCGUGCAUCAUAAACUUAAGUGCUCUACCACCCUGUAAGUUGUCAGCCUUUUCUUAAUUUAGAAAAUCAUGCGCUUCUGGAUGAUUGGUGAUUGGAAGAACACCAUGAGCAUACACACCCGCACCCACACCCGCCCGUAUGUAUGCGAACACAAACAACUAAACUACGUGCACACAGAUGGUCCCUACAAAUUUGCGCACACCAAAAUUUAAAAAAAAGCCGCUCGCUCUGUGAGCGUGUGGACACACGAAACAAGGGAAUACACAAGGGCACAAGGCUAAACAAAACAUCAAAGGUGUGGGAUCAUGCCCUUCGAGCUGUCAUAGCUGCUAACCCCUGCAUUAAUCGAUAACAAGCCUGACCAUGGGGAGACUUUUAGGUGGCGAUUCCAAUCAUAUUAUGCUAGCAGAUAGGUGUAUCCACGACUGCCCGAUGCAUUUACAUUUUGGUUGUACCCGCUAAGAGAGUAACAGCCAACAUUUUCUAUCUGGUUUAAUAUCUUAGCAACCUACAAUCUCAUCACUAUCGUUCUGUAGUACAACUGAUAAACCAACUAGGUAGGUAGAAAAGGAUUAUUGUAAGAGAGGUACCUGAGGUUUAAGGGAGGAAGAGUUUUAAGUCCAUAGGAAUGAAGCGUGCCGUGAGGAACUUGGGCAUGUUUGUUGUUGCUCCCACUCUGGCGGAUGCACCUGUCUUGCUUCCUUCUGCUUCUCCAUUACCUGUCGUCAUCGGUAAGUCAUCCCCCGCGAAUUCACAAUACAGACAACUAUCUGAGAACACAAGUCACGACUGCAUUUCCUUAUUAAUCGCAACUAAGCAUAAGAUAUAGUUUACUCAAAAACAAACAAAACAAAAAAAUAUAUAUGCUUACUUCCUCCACUAGAACCUUGUUAUGUUCCAGCUGUGACUUUUCCCGUAGAUUGAAGGUGUGGCUCAGUAGACAAUUUUAAGUUCUACUUCACAACUCCGUCAGAAAUGAACACGAGGAGCACAUUAAAUAACAAGAAACUGCCGACAAAAUACAGAUAUCAAUACGACAAUAACAAUAUUUAGGGGGGAAAAAAUUCAAUGACCUAGGAACCUUUGACCAAACAGAACAUGAACAUAAUGAGAAAUGAAAACAGAAAGCAUAAACAGAUCAGAAGCAAGCACGUCGUUAUUAUCAUAUUUAUGCAUUGUAAAAUACAAGACAAGAAAAUACCAAACGUAACCACAACUGAUGGUAAUGAAUGUUAAACAGAAUUUUCUUCAGACAAAACCUUUUUCUGAAGCUCAGAGAUCGAAUCAAGCAUUAGUUGGCUCUGCACCAGAUAAAAAAUCACAUUAAUGUCACCUACAGCCAUAUAUAAAAAAAAAAUGUGCUCAGAUUACUCAUGAAAGAGCAUGUCUGAUCAGGCGAAACAGUCAUAGAACUUUAUGCACCAUAACUGCAAUAUUUUUUGGAGGCAAUUACUGAAAACAUUAAUCUGCUUCCCAAUGUCUUUUUCCCAGGAAGGUAGAAUACUUGCGUAUUACAAUAGCACCUUUCAGGUGAAUAACACAGAGACCUUGUUUGUAUCUCUAGCACGUCCAAAAAUAGGUAUGUACAUUUUUCUUUUUUAAGCAAACAGCUAAAGAGCAAUGAAGAAGUUUGACUUCAGUACCUAAACUUUGUUCCAAUCUUCAAGUUUAAACAAAUGGAGGGAAAAAAAUGAAAGGAUAUGGGGAAAGGGCGGAAAGUUGAUAGUGAGUAGUGACAUUAGAAAAGCUGUAGUAGGAUGAUAAGGUGGUAAUAAAACACGAGACUGCACAAUUUUAUUUUAUUUUUGCAAAAGAUAUAACAAUCUAGAGUUAUUGUUAGAGGACCCAAAUGAUGAUCAACUUUCAAGAAUUUUGAGCUACAUCUAAAACUAGUAACUGUAUACAAACAAAAGAAGCAGACUGCUAAAAGUCUUUCGACCUUUCAUCAACUGAUAAAUAAGGUGGAUUUAAAAGCGGACAUUGUCUACACUAUUAGAAACUCAAUAUAAAAUUCAUGAAUCUGAUACUCCUUAUGUGGAAAACUUUGUAAAAUUGUGUUUUCGGCAAUAAAUCUGUCCAUUUUUUAUGUAUAGUUUCAAUAUAUCAGUAAAGAGCUAUAAAUCAAAUUAUUUCUGAUUCAUAGGUAGUCGAAUUUUCUAGGUCAUGAUGGAUUGUGCUGACCUUGAAAUACAACAGUUAAUUGACAGUACAAGUAAUGAAUUUUUUGUGAAAGAAUUGAAGCAAAGUGCUCUCUCUUAAAUGUACCUUUCUUGAUCUUAGAAGCUUCAAGGAACUAUCCAAUUGUUGCUCGAGUUGUUGUAGUUCUUUGAAAUUCAAUGAGUUGAGCUCCCAUAAGGUGCUUAAAAUUGUCAAAUCAAGCUAAUAUGAGCAUGUUCUUAUAUAUGCCAUUUUUCCAUUUUUAUGAAACUAAUUACCUUUAACUUUUGUGUAUCGCAUCAAUAUUUAUUUUCAGUUUGUUGUAUUUGAGGCACCAGUUACCCUUUUGAGAUAAAAUAUUUGUCAGCUGCUGGUACACACAUUGCACGAUUCAUUUAUUUACGAAUAAAAGUUAGCUGAAUGACUAAACAAGUGAUUAAAAGAUUAUGCUAAAAAGAAUAAGAUUGGGCCUAACAUAGGACAAACCACGGUUACCUAAUUUGUAAAAUACCCUCUGAAUUUCGAAUUAAUGGCAAAACAGGUGAUCCGUGCAAACCUCUUAACCCUAUAUUGGAAUCAUAUUGAGCAGCAUAUCCAGAUAUAUCAGUACGUACAUACAUGUAUAUUAGUAUAUAUAUGUAUGCACAUAAAUGUAUAUGUAUCUAAUAUUUUCAUUUAUUUACAUUUUGUGUUUCAAGUAAAUGUUUUCUAUUCAUAUAAAUCAUGCCAAUAAAGACUACCUCCAAUCAUACUAUGUUUUAGAGCAAGUAGCAUUUAGCAAUCCCAUCCCUAUUCUGCAAACCAUAUCGAUCUGCGCUUUAGGUAACAAUGUAACAUAGGGGNGGGGAUUGAUUAUCAAGGAGUUGAUCACCUAGUUGUUUCGUAUUAUCCUUGUGAUUUAAAAUAACUAAAUUUGGGCAUAACCAUCUUUCUUGAGAAAGAAAUGAAAGUAAUUUUUCUCACUCAUUAAAUUUGCCAGCGAAUGACAUUCAACCAGUAGAACAAAAAUUAUUCAAGAUUGUCCAGAAACAUUCUUGCAGUAUAUUUGAUUUUGUCACAAGAAAGGAGAACAGCAGAUAUCAAAUAAAGCCGCUUCUUUGUAAGGCAAGAUUGGGCAAUCAUGUUAAAAAAAAAUAUAACCACUAUUUCUGGGCAUUUCCUAUUACAUUCAUCUUUCGUAAAACACUGAUUACCCAUUUACUGACGUGCAGAAGACAUAUUUCAUUCCCAAACUAACAAAAUAGUCAUUUCUAACUGACGAUAGAUUUAAAAACAUGUGAAACCACUCGAAAUCCGACUUAAACUGGCAUUUUUUGACAGAAAUUGAAGCUAACAUGAGCUUGCAAUAAUGUUUUUAAUCAACCUGAAAACCAGUUUGUGCGUGUAAACUGAUUUUAAUCUUGAAGCAAGUUACCAAUACAUUAUUAGUUACCUUAAUUUUGCAAAUACCACAGGCAUACAUAUCCACUAUAUAUCUUUCUGGUGCACUAGGUUGGAUACUUUGGACAUGCCCCCAAGAUCUAAAACUGCUUUCCUACAUUUUAAACAACUAACACAACAAUAAUGAGAAGCCAAAUAAAAUAUUUCAUGGAAAAUUUAAGUAUGUACAUCUAAUUAAUGAGUAGAAUGUUUCUUAAAAUAGUUAAUGGCAUUACUUUCCUUGUUCUUUCCGCCACUUGGCACAUAGAUGUGCUCAUGAAAACUAUUAGUUGUUGAAAAGAAACAGAAGAUGAGGAGAAGAGUCGAAUAUUUGAGUGGGCAAAAAAAAAAAAAAAAAAAAAAGAGAAAAAGAGGAGGGGGCAGCUAGGGUAAUGUUUUAAUGUAUUUCAGAAGUUUCAAGGAGGAAAGCCGAAAUAGGAAAAUGAAAUAGUACAUUAAUUAACUGGUCACUAGAUCCAUAAUAAGGACCAGAAUCAUGAGAAGGGGGAGAUCAUAAGAGAGCUAGGCCUUGCUCAUCAGUGGAAAAGACACACAGAAUGAAAGCGUAGUUACAUGAUGAAUCAAAGAAAAUGAUGAUUAUGAGGAACAGCCUAGAAGUGCAGAAAUAUACAGGAAAAAGGAUACCAAAAUGGAAAUCAAAAACUAAAAAGAAAAAGUAAACCCUAAUUCUAGAGAGAGAGAGAGAGAGAGAGAGAGAGAGAGAGGAAGAGAUCUAUGGCUUGUUUCUCACGCUUUCGUACUAAAGCUGCGAAGGCUCAUAAUCCAAUGUAACCGCACGACAAUCAGGGGUCGCGACGAUCUCGGGACGUGGAUCUCACGCCAUUUGCUCUCAAAUUUGGCUAUAUACGGAACAUCGGAAGCGAUUUACGCAUCAGGGUCCAGAGAAGCGUGAAAGAAAAUUUUCAUCCGUGGAAAGAGAAACCGAUGAAGUGUAAAACAAAAAAAAAAAAAAAAUAAAGAAAGAAAGAAAUAAAUGCAUUCCCGGUAUCGGACAGACGAACAAGCACCAGAACCCAAGAACAACACAUAAACUAGGAAAUAAACCGUAAUUCGCACUCGUACACUACGUCUUCUUUCCUAAAAUUCUAGGGCACGGAAAAUAUAUGAAUCCGUAACAGAUCGAUGUUGAUGCCAUAAUUAAGGGGGGUAAAAAAAGAGAGAGAGAGAGCAAAAAAAAGUGGCGAGCAGUUCGAGAGAGAUGAAGAGAUGAGAGAGAUGAUCGCACCAGGAAUGGGUGGCGUACUCGUAGAGCUUUUCCCUGGUGGAGAAAACGAUGAGGGCCACCUCGGCGUCGCACGCGCGCCUUCUUCACCAAUCCAUUUCUCCGCUUCGAGAACGUCCCCUCCCUAUUGAUCUUGUUCUCGAUCCGCUUCAGCUGCACCCUCCCCCUCCCCACAUAUCCCGAUCUCCAACUAAACCCUAACCCUAACCCUAACCCUAACCCUAACCCUAUCGUACAACCUACGAACAACAAAGAGAGAGAGAGGGAGAGGGAGAGGGAGAGAGAGGUAGGGUUUGGUGGUGGUGGUGUUAGGGGAAGGAGCUUGGAGGGCGAGAGGCGAUGGGUGUGGUUUUGCAAGGGUUGGAGAGAUGGGAACAGGAAGGUGGUAUUUGGAAACCGGAGUGGUUUUUCGUGGGUAUACGCUGUCGCGUUGUGAUUGGUGGGGAUGGACUCUGCCAAAGGCAUGUUAAUGAAGCUCUGUCUCGUUUCGUACGGACAACUAAGACAUAAAGGCGCACGGCCCGCCGCCCCCCCACCCACCCCCCCCCCCCCCCCCCCCCCCCCCCCCCCCCCCCCCCCCACGUACCUCACGCCCCUAAUUUUAAUGACGGUGCAGAAACAAAUGCCCUCCACAUUGUGGGAUAUUACGAUUGUGCCACUCAACCUUGUAACGAUACGUCGACGUGCGCGACCAUGCCACCCACCGAGCAUGCUCUGAUCCGUCGCUUCGUUAGCAGCCAACGGUGGGAUGAGCGCCUUAAUUCUCGCCGCUAGCGGACAACCGACGGUCACGAUCGCCCGACCACCUGAUGCGGCCUUCCACUGCUCUAUUGAGCAGAGCUGAUUCGGGAUUACGGGAUUUUCUAGAAUUGCUCGACUCAUGGUGAAAUUAAUUUGUGGCCAACUAAUCAAGAUUAAUAAGGAGUGCUAUCCAUACAUUCCAUACCAGUUUGAAUAAAUUUUGUGCGAACCAUGUUAAUCCAUUUUUUCUCUCAAUUCUUGUUAAUCCAUUUUUUCUCUCAAUUCUUUUUCUUUUUUAAAAUAUAUGAAACUUAGCACUACUCCGCAAGAUAUAAUCUUGGCAUGCACCAUCUAUUAAUUCAGACAAUAAUGUGUCAAUCAUGCAUGUACCCACCACUCAUGCAGAAAGAAAUAUUAAGGCUAGCUUGUCGGCCGGGAAACACAAGGGGGCAGCAAAAGCGGAACAAUCUACAUUGCUGGAUGUUCAAAUUUAUAACUGGAUCAUCAGAUGCAUGCACGCAGCCUGUUGGAUACCAAUCAUGUGAGGCAUCGCUAUUUCGAUACCAUAUCAUCAACAAAUAAUGUAUAUACAUACACGCUUAUUAUUAACAAAUUAAUAGCAGAGAAACCUUUCUUUUUCUUUUCUUCUCUUUUUUUUCAACACUCUGGGGCCAGGGUAAUCAGAUCAGUUCCUGAUCAGUUAUGAACCACUACUUGAUUGGGAAAAAGUGAAAGAAGAUAUUCAUAUUCUGAUAACUACAAAUGAGCAUCUCCUGAUUGGAAUAUUCAUCAUCGCCAUGUGCCGGAUAGAUAAAGUGAACCAACUUUCUCACCACAACUUCACAUCAAUUCUCAAGAUAGCUAGUCGACCACUUCUCAAAGCAAUUAAUAUCGUAAACAUUGAUGUACGAACUAACAACUAUAUAUAAAGCUCAGUCUGAAAAUUUAGAAUAUGCAUCAUAUAUCUUACACAAAAGGCCUGAAUCUUACUGACCAGGGUGAAAUAAUUAUUUGUUUUUUUUCAGCAAGAUAUUGCCUCCAACUCUUAAUUAAUAGCCACAACAUAAAAUCAAGCUCCAUUUCGAUCCAUAUACCAUUCUAUAGCUGUAGGAGUGUUUUAUUCUUCUUCAUGAGUUUUCUCGUGCAUGCUUAAAAGCAAAUAUAAAAUACAAUACAGUAGUCGAGGAGGAUAUAAGACAAACAAGAGUUUGGUGGAAAUGAAGCGUAAGGCUUCAUCCUAUCCAUCCAGGAGGAUAGACGUUCUCACCUGUUGUUGCAUCAGCUGCAUUCAACUGAUUAGUAUACAUGGGAUAGUACCUGCAUGCAACCAAUGCCGUAUUAAGACAGUCACGUACAUUCAUCAGGAAUGCAGUUUUUGGAGCAAAUUUUUUUUUAUGGAACAGUAACAAAUUUAGUCAUAACGUUUGAUCGGAGCACCAAUUCAGUAUUUAAACAUACAACUAUAUAUAAUAACAUUAUCUGUGAACUUUGAGUUUUCAUUUGUGUUUCUUCUCAAAUGUUUGCACAAAGUUCAUUCCAUGCACUGCAACAAAAACGGUCUAUAGCGACAAUUUUAAAUGUCGGUACAGGUCAAAAAAGUGCUGCUGACUAAAUUACUGACACUGUUAAAAAGUGUUGCUAUAUGUGGGGUCGCUAGGUAUAUAGUGACAGUUAAAGAGUGUCGCUAUAACAAAAAAAAAUGCUGUUAAUUUACCAACACUUAUUUAAACAUUUAGCAAUCGUCGGAACUCUAGCUCGUUGGCUGCAGUGGUGGAAGAGGACGAGAGGAAGGGAUCUUCGUCUAGAAUUUCAAUGGAUUGAGUGAGGGGAGAAGGGGAGAUGAUAAUCGAUUUUUCAUUUUUUUUUUUCUUUUCUGUUUAUAAUCAGGCCGAAUGGGCUGGGUGAGGUGGGUUGAGUAGAGUAAUUUUUUAUUUUUGGUUGGAUUGGGUUUUAUAUUUAGGCAUUAGUAGAUUUUUUAAAAAAUUUUGGCAUAAAUGGGACACUUAUACAGAAGUGUCCCAAACAUAUGUCCUUAUAACCUAAUUCUGUUGUAGUGAUGUAAAGUAUAACGGUAAUGACGCUAGACAUGAUGCUUUUCCAUAGGUAGACCAAAGGACUCGAUUGUUACGCAAAACAAACUUUGGGAAUAAAUUGUUGCGAUUGAAACUAUGAGAAAGAAAAUGAAAUUCAAGUUGGAAAAAAAAGUGACAAAGCAUAUAUAUNUAUAUAUAUAUAUAUAAUUGGGCUGGAAUAGUAUCAAUAGCACCAAACUAUUGGUGCUAUUAGUUUUGUAGCUCUUAGAUUAAGAAAUUUACGGUUAGGAUGAUGUGGUCCCCCUAGGGUUGAGUGGGUGUUGGUUGAAUAGUAUAAUCUAACGGAUAAAAAUAAUCAAAAGCAUUAAUCUAACAGCAGAAAACUUGAUAGCACCAAGUGCUUGGUGCUAUCGAUAGCAUAGCAGCCGAACUAUAUAUAUAUAUAUAUAGAGAGAGAGAGAGAGAGAGCGCGCUAGGCUCCUAUACUAUUUAUAGUAAUAGAGCUUCUGGUACUAGUCUCAUUUUCAACUUUACAGUGUUCAAAAUAACGAUCCACAUCCUUAAAACUGAUCUAAGGUAUUUAAAGUUUUUAGAAAUAAAAUUUUAUAUAUUUUCCAUGUAGUUUUACUUUAUGAUCAAAUUAUUUCAAAUUUGUCAAUUUUUAAUAGUUAUUAUAGUGAGUUUGUAGUUUAACGGUGUAGAAGAAUUUAAAUUUAUUCAAAUUUUGAUAGAAUAAAUCCUAUUUUCAAAUUUUAAAGAUGGUUGAUCUUGAAUUCAAGAUUGGAAUAUUCAUCAGUAUCGUUGAUCUUGAAUUGAAAAAUCCUAUUUUCGAAUUUUAAAGAUGGUUCAAUUUUUUUUUUAUUUUUUUUUUUGAGAGAUAGGUAGCACGCUACUCGCUUCGUUUAUUUCAUUUUAGAAAUAAACUUAGAUGGUUCAAUUUUUACCAUUCAUUUUUGACAUGAUUUAUUACUAACUAAACGAUGUUGAAAAAAAAUUAAAAUUUUAUUUCUAACUUCAUAUAUCUUAGAUCAUAUUUGACGGUAAAGAUCGUUUAUUUGAACACUCUAAGAUCGAAAACGAGACUAUAGUACCAGAGCUCCGGUACUAUAGAUGGUAUAGUAGCAUCAUUCUCUCUCUCUCUCUAUAUAUAUAUAUAUAUAUGUUAUCCAUUUCUGACAGGAAUUUACCCAAUUUGAAGCGAAGGUUCAAAAGGUAUGGGGUGAAAGAAUCCCUGGGACGACUGUGAAGGCCUUUGAUUGCAGGCUACAUUAGAUGCACCACCGGUGCCAUUUUCCCAGGAUAGUAGGAGGGGAUCUUGUAAAUCAGCUUCCUGCAACUGAGAGAGGUAGCCGUGCAAGCAAAGUUAACAAGCGAGCUGGUACAGACUUAAAAAAAGAAAAAAAAAAGAAAAAAAAAAAAAAAGAAUAUAAGAAAUGAACAGCUAGCGUCAAAUGUUGCAUAAGUUGGUGCUGUUUCCGCAGAACAUACAAGACCAUUCUACUAGCUAGAGAGCAUUGCCCUUUAAGCUAAAGCAGACUAGAUCCAGUAUCGACAAACAUGUAAGCAACCGGAUGUUCAAUGUUUUGAUUUGAUGGAAAGAAAGAGGCCAACUGUGAAGUGAAAAAAAAAGGGCAGUUCUUAUAUGACUUACUGCUAACAAUUUGGUUACAUAAAAUUAACAGAAAUUCUUCCAAGAAACCUUUGACAGAUUUCUUUGUGAACUACUGAAGUAUUCAUUAAAUUACGUAAAAGUUCUCGACGAAAAAGCAAUUUUCCUGCAAUCAUUUACUGUGUAUGCAGAUGAUAAGCAAUUAAUUAAUGGAGAAGCAUCACAAGUAGGCCAUUAAAUGGUUACCUCCCUUUUCAAAGAUCUGUUUGCUUCUUGCAACAUUUGUUCCUGCAUUUGGGUAAAACAGGUUGUUGAAACAAAAUUUGGAACCAGAAGAAAGAAACACCACACACCCAAAAAAAAAAAAAAAAAAAAAAAGAGUAAAAAACCUUAGCAUAAGGUGUAAUACCUUUGUUUUAAGAUCAGAUAGCUCAUCAAGCAUUACUUGUGUCUGCAAAUAAUAGACAUCAAAAAACAGAAUUAGUAACUAUAAGAAAGAAAAUAUAUUCCAAUUCCCUAUUAUCGAUCAUCAUGCAGUGACACUGUCAUGCUAAACUAGAGAGUGAUACCACACAUCUCUAAGCUAAAGCCAUCCCAAUUCUACAUGGCAAAGACAGUUAUAUCAAAUCACUACAACAAGCAAAUAUGUUGACUAGGAAAGCAACGGCUAGCUAGAUGCCAAAAGAGAGAUAGAUAUAUUGUUCUCGGAGGAAAAGCUCAAAUGCGUUUGUAACAUCCUUAGAUAUUUACCUUUCUUGAUCUGAUCUGCUUUAAGGACUUCUCUAAUUGAUUUUCAAGAUGCUCGAGUUCAUUCGAACUCAGUGGAAUCAAAUCCUCACCAAGAAGAUUUCUGUAUUAUUAGUCAUAAGAUUCUCAUUAGAAAAAUAAUCUGCAUGGAAAGGUACUCAUAGCACUACUCAAAAAUAUUAAGUGAGAUGGGAGCUAAAACAAAAAAAACCUUUGUGACUGCUGGAGAAUCUCAACUCGCAUCUUUAGUUUCAGAUAUUCCUGAUAAUUGCUCUGGGCCAUAUAAAAGAACCUCAUUAUAUAUCACAGAAGAGCAUACAAUCAAAAAAAGGGGGGGAAAAAAGUAGUUACCUUUCCUAUGGAAACAGAUACAACACAAAGGACAAAAAAAAAGAGAAAUUGUUGUUUCUUAAUUGUGUUGCGGAAAAAAGAGAGGCAAGAACAAAUAAUUCAGGCACACUUAUAUUAGAUAUUUGAAAAUUAUUUACAAACAUGGCUAGGUAACAAAUUUCUUCCACAAAAUUAUAUAUAUACUUUCCACAGGAAGAAUGCGACGGACACAUACCAGGACUAUUGCCACCUUCUGCACAUUUAUAACUUGAAAGCAAUUUUUUUAACACUAUAUCUAGCUUUAGCAAGCUGGGAUUAGAGCAAUAUGAGGGACCAAAUUUGGCGUGGGAAAAUGUGCUCAGAAGAAAUGCUACCAUUAUGGCAUUAGAGUUGAUUAACUGAUAGCCUAAAAGGUAUAUAUAAUUACCACGGACAAUGAAAUAUUUGCAAAAGAAAGGUGUAAAAUUAAUGGCAGGAAACAAAAUUUGAGUACAACACUUAGCAGAGAAAUGACGAACAAUAUGUUUCAAAGAGUUUACGGAAGAGCUAACAAGCAAAGACAGGCAAGAUGUCAAACGGAGCACAGAUUUCAUAUCCAAGACCAGACAGAUUCAUUCAAGUAAAAGUGAAAUAUUAAGUGAAGAUUUAAACAGACGAGCGCACCUAGCUAUUAUAGGUCUGCUUGCAUCACUGUGUUAAUUAAUUUAACUAAACAAUAAUCUAUCAGAGAAACUACGUACCUUAUACAAUAUUUAGAGAAGAGAUUUUGCUACCUGUGUCUCAGUGGCUGGGACGGCAGCCUUUGAUGCUGCAUAAGUGUGUCUUUGAUACCUUUCAAGAGUCUUAAGUAUGCUGCAAUAAAAUUGGAGAAAUCACUAAUUAAUUAGAUGACACACCUCAGGAACAUCUAUAUGAAGUUUGCUCACAACCAUAUAUAUAUUGUUUGAUUAAUGAAUCACUUUCUAAAUUUAUAUAAGAUGGAUUUCUAAACAUAUAUAAGAUGGAUCAGGCAGUGCAACAGACCAUCUGCAAUUAAGUUAGAUCAUUCUCGAGAAAACGGGAAUAACCAAACUAUAUAUAUAUAUAUUUUGAACCUUCAUGUCCGGAAAAAUUAGCAGACGAGUCUCCUCAUCUUUAUUUGAGCAUUGUUUGCGGUGAAAAUCUAGAUUUGUCUUCCUGGAGUAAAAGGCUCUUUGAUCUACUAAUUGUGGAUACAUGAAGUGUUUGAUAUGGCAAACCAAUCCUAAAUCCUAAGCUGAUUGGAUGCAAACGUACACCAAAGAGAAUGGAGCGGAGAUGGAGUAAAACUAAGUAUGCAUGCUCGAUCGCAAUUCAGAUGGAUCAGAGCGGAAGCCUUUGUUACUGGGGAACGAAGCUCUUUGAUGAGAAGCGGUGAAAUAAGGAAUUGGUCUCUGAGAGACAGUAGUUCUCAAAUACAUCCGUAUUCUCAAUCUAUGUGAAACUAGAAAUGGUAAGCUGGGAAACCAAUAUAGUUAAGAAAACAGGUGACACAUCUAGAUUUUGAAAUAGCUAGUCAUAUAUAUAAGAUAUAACAAGAUUAAAUCUCUAAACCCGGCUAUAGCAUUUUUGAUUGAUAACUAGGCCGAAGAGGUUAAGAGGAUUAGGCAUGGUAGGAUUAUAGUAGUUCUAGGAUGAAUGUGUUGGAAAAUGAUGCAAAUCUUAUCAUGUUAGUGGCCCUAUUAUUGUACAAGCUCAGGAAAGCUCUUUAUGGCCUGAAGCAAGCUCCUAGAGUGUGGUAUAGCCGGCUUGAUAUCCAUCUCCGACAACAUGAUUUUCAUAGAAGUGAGAAUGAACCAACUUUAUAUAUGAAGGUGAAAGGUAAAGAGAUUAUCAUUAUCUGUGUUUAUGUCGAUGACAUAAUCUAUACAGGUUCAUCAGAUCUUCUUAUUUGUGAUUUCAAGAAUAUUAUGAUGCAUGAAUUUGAUAUGUCGGAUUUGGGACUUUUACAUUAUUUUCUUGGUCUUCAAGUUAUGCAGACUGAUAAUGGUAUCUUUUUGACCCAAGAAAAGUAUGCAGUGGAUUUGCUUAAGAAAUUUAAGUUACAAAACUGCAAGGGAUGUGCAACUCCUGUGAAUCCAAAUGAAAAAUUGACAAAAGAUGAUGGGACUGGAAAAGUUGAUGCACAGAUUUUCAGAAGUAUAGUUGGGGGUUUAAUGUAUUUGACACAUUCACGUCCUGAUAUUAUGUUUUCUGUUAGCUUAAUAUCCAGAUUUAUGCAUGAUCCUACAAAGCAUCACCUUGGAGCCGCAAAACGAAUUCUACGCUACAUUCAGGAUAGUAUUAAUUUUAGCAUUUGGUAUCACCCAGUUACUAAUUUCAAAUUGGUUGGUUUUAGUGAUAGUGAUUGGGCAGGUUCUCAAGAUGACAGAAAAAGCACAAGCGGAUGGAUAUUCAAUUUUGGAUCUGGAGCGGUCACGUGGGCAUCAAAGAAGCAAGCUACUACCACUUUAUCUUCCUCCGUAGCUGAAUAUAUAGCAGCAACAUCGGCCGCAUGUCAAGCUGUGUGGAUGCGAAGAAUUUUGGAGGAUCUAUAUCAAGCACAAGAAUAUCCGACGGAGAUAUAUUGUGACAACCGCUCAACCAUUGCAAUGACGAAGAAUCCGGUCUUUCACGGACGCAUGAAACAUAUCGAAGUACGUCAUCAUUUCAUCCGGGAUCUUGUCAACAAUAGGCAAAUCGACAUGAAGAAUUGUUCCACCAAUGAACAAGUUGCUGAUGGAUUGACGAAAGCUCUAUCUCAUGACAAAUUUUUGAAGUUCAGAAGAGCCCUCGGCGUUACUGAAUUUGCAUCAAGGGGGAGUGUUGGAAAAUGAUGCAAAUCUUAUGAUGUUAGUGGCCCUACUAUUGUGCAAGUAGUGGGUGCAANAAAUAGUGGGCUAAGAUCAUGUAGAUAGUGGAUAAGUGCAUGCCUUAAUUUGUGUAAGUAGUGGGUAAUUAAUGUUGUGGAGUUCAUGAUAGCUAGUUUCUAGGAGCACAUGUGUAGUGGAUGUAGUGGAGAACAUGUGUGGUUAGGUUUUCUUAAACUUCAAGUUUCUUAUUCUAUUUAUGUCCUUUAAUUGUAAGCCUUUUGUAAUCAAGUUUUUGAAUGAAAGUGUUUAAUUUUUCUUCCACUUAAUUGCUGUAGCAAAGUGUAUUAGCAAGGCUUAAAUUACUUUAUGCCACUUUCAUCUACAGAAUGACCUGCCCAGACAAGAUGGCAUCAGUGUGGAUAUUAGAGCCUAUCACCAGCCGAAAGAAUGAGAUGGGUCUUAAUUGAGUCAGAGUCUAGAUAACAAAUUAAAUCAGGAUCUGAGAAUGAUAGUGUAAACCAUAUUUUGAAUGACAAGGAUAACGAGACGAGUCUCAAAUUACCUGGUGCUUGUGAGUAUAAUUAAGAUUGAUGAAAAUAUUAGAUCAUAACUCGGGGGAGGAAUGUGACGCAUCAAAAAUUUAGAAUAGUGUUAUAUAUAAGGUAUAUUAUGGCUAAAUCUUUUAAUCCGAGUAUUGCAUUUUAGGCGAUGGCUAGGGUAAGAGGUUUAAGAGGGUUAAGUAAGCUUAGAGCUAGAGUUAUUCUAGGAUGGCUGACCCCUCUGAGAAGCAAGGCAUCACAGUUGGUAUCAUAAUUAAUAGAAAUUUCUUAAUUAUCACCAAAUGUAUGUGUAGAAACUUUAAUGAAAUGGAGAUUUCAUUCCACUUCAGUUUUUAGUAAAAGAGUCUACAUGGGUUGAUAUCUAUGGGUUUUGAGAUUCAUCAAUUAAAACAUCACAAUUUAUGCACAUUAAAACCUACAACCAAUGCUCUAUAUUUUUAAAAUAAAAACAAAACAAAUAAACGUCGAGCAAAAUACGACUUGAUUGAUAUGGCAGUAUGUUCCUUUUCCUUUCAGUGUAUUUUUAUUCUUUUCCAAUUUGUUUCCCUUAUCGUGUUUGAUCAUGCCAAAGUUUCAAACAAUGACAAAAUAAACCCUCAACAUUUAGAGAAGUCCAACUUUGUUGAUAUGGCAAUGCGGCAAUGCCCCUAAUUUUUUUUCUUCUCGACGUACUACAAUUCUUUUCCAGGUUAGUUCUCACACCUUAUCUACAUUAUGAUAAUUAUCAUAUCUAAUAAAUGAGUAUGAGUAUCUUAUUUCAAAUAAUGCGAAAAUCCCAUGACGUGACCUCAAACUGGCAUGGUAAACUAGUAAUUUUAAAAUAUAUCUACAUGACCAUUGGGAGCCUCAUCACCUACGCAUGUGAACAAUCCAUAGGUGUACGUAUUGAAUUAGAUCUUCCUCUAACUUAUACACUUGGAUUUUGUUGAACAUACCCACCGUAUGCGUAAUUAAUGCCCAGGUAUCAAUACUAGUAUAUUAAUUUUCUCAACUAAGAACCAUCAACUGCAUGCCGGUAACAAAAAUCAUGUAUAAAUUUACCUCUCUAUGAGAAAAUCAUACAAACUGCCUUCUUGUCAACCAACAAGAAUAAGAAUGCAUGUACAUACAUGAAUCCAUGCAUGGAUAGGUAGGUGUGCAUAUAUGUAAGCUCUCACAUUCCAAUGUAUAAUUGCAUGCAUGUAGGCCUAUGUAAAAAUAUUAUUAAAAACACUCCUAUAUAUAUGAACAUAAAUACGUAGUUAUUCUUCAAAGACUUAAAGGGCUAAAUCAUGCCCUCAAAUUGAAUUACAUAAAAUGGUAAGACAAAAUAUGUGUCACGAAUAUAUAUAUAUAUAUAUAUAUAUAUAUAUAUAUAUGGAAAUCGUCAAUUUUAAAAUGUCUUUAUUUAUAUAUACUUGAAGAUGAAUUAGAGUAUUAAUUGAUUUGGAACUACUUCACACCUAGAAAAUAAUUGCCAAUCUUCAUAGUUCUUUUGAUGAGUAAAUUAAACUAUACGAGACCACAGCAAUGGUUUUGUAUUCUAUAUCUCAUUUGAGGCCCUUUACUUUUAGGAUUUGCCGAUUUCUUUUUUUACAUCUUUUUUACAUAUAUACAUAGCAGACUAGCUAGUACUGUAAGACUCUUUAUUCUUACUCUAGUAUAAUAUAAUAUAAUCCUGUUUCCUGCACGUACUUGUAAACACAUAGUACAUUCAUAUAUUUACAUAAAUGUUUUGUAGUUAGUUAUUAUGGAUUUUGUGUACCAACUGGUGUUCCUGCGUCUGCUUCGAAAAGAAAAUUAGUCAUAUAUUAUUAGCAGCCAACAGCGAGAAAUAUCAUAAAGUUUCUUGUAACAGUAGCAUAUGAGGCACUUCCUGUUACAACUUUAUGCAUACGAGGAAGAAGUACAAGCGAUUGCACCCCGAAAGUCUUAAACUUGCUGCUGACAAGGCAAUAAGAAAUUAAGAAGGGGUAAUUAAUUAGAAAAAUCAAAAAAAAAAAAAAAUUCAAUAGCCAAAAAGAUCAAGCAAAGUAGCAAUCAAACACAUAUUUUCAUAAAAGAAAGAAAGUGGCAAUCAAUAAAAACAGCAUAAUGGCAAGCAUCAAAGAGAACUUGAUCAUUAAAGUACCAUAUACAUAAUUAGCUUUAUAGAUCCUUUGUAAUAUAACAAAACAUAGAAUGAAGGAAUUAAAGUAACAAGUACGAUAAGGAGUAAGUAUCCCAAUGGAAAAAUAUUCAGGCCCGAAAACAUAAGCUCAUUUGUACCAAUUCUUCCGAUUCCAUCUCCGAAUAAUUUAUUUAUUUUUCACAACUUUCUUCGUUCCGUGAUUCGAUUGAAAGCUAGGAAAAAUAAAUAAAUCAUUAGGCCAGGGAAAAAAAACUGCAAGAAAAAUUACGACGCCACGACCAAGAUAAGCACAAACAAAAAGUAACAAACGAUCGAUCAAAAACGAAGAAGACUAGCUAUAAUUUCCUUCUCAAUCAAAUUAUAGCUCUUCAGAGACCGUGCGUUGCACAUCGAGAUCGCCUAAACAGCAGGAGACUACCACAAAUGACAUAGGAAGGAAGGAAGGGCACACUUAUAAGGUUUAAAUGCAAGAAUUGUAGACGGAUCCGAUAAAAGGUGCAGGUGGCGAUUAAAGUCUUACGUACUGCAACGAAUAAUGAGAAGAAACCCGAGCAAGCAUAGAUAGCAUAGCAUACAUAGAAGCAGCUUCUAAUUACUAAUUAGCGUGUGUGUGUAUUAUAUAUAUAAUAGAUGUAUAGAUCUACGUACCUGGAGCUGCUGCAGAACUCGAAGAGCCUGCCGCGGUUGGAGAAGAUGAUGAGGGCGACCUCGGCAUCGCAGAGCACGGAGAGCUCGUACGCCUUCUUCAGCAAUCCGUUCCUCCGCUUCGCGAACGUCACCUGCCGGCUUAUCUUGUUCUCAAUCCGCUUCAGCUCCACCCUCCCCCUCCCCAUCCGGUCGUACGUGAUAUUUAUAUAUUAAUAUAUGUAUAUCCCUAGCUAGCUAGCUCUUAAUUAUCUCCUCCUUAAUUAAUUUGUUAUCUAUGCGCGCGAUCGAAUUAUUUAUAGAUGUACGAGAAAGAGCUAGCUAGCGCGUUGCUUAAUUAGGCUCCAAGCUGAAAUAAGAAGAUCAGGAGAAGGAAAAAAAAAAAAAAAAAAGGGAAACGAAAAUUAAUCUCUUCCCCUCCUCUCCCGUCCUUUAAUAAGAGAAUGAAGCAUAAGGAGGAGGAGGAGGAGGAGGAGGAGGAGGAAAGGCCGAAGAUCUAGAGAAAGAGAGAGAAGAGUAGUAGUGUAUGGAGGAAGGGAGAAGGGCAGCUCUUCUUAAUUAAUAUUGUGGAUGUACUAUAUUAUGAGCUGGGCUAGCUAUUUGGGUGAGUGGCUUUGGGUGAGCUUAAAAUUAAGGAAACUUGGAAGCGGAGUCGCUGCGACGCCUCUCGCUCUCCUCCCGUCUCUACUCUCUACUCUUUUGUCUCCUCUGAGGUCAAAUUGAGUGCGAAUAAAGAGGGGUCGAUCACCUCUUUCUACAGUACACGAAUAUAUGGUAACGUGUCGAACCAGCAGUGGCCAAUCUUGAUUCUCCUCGGCGGUGCCUUAAUUUGCAGUUGACGCAUCUGCCCCUCCUUUCCUUUGGCCCGGAAACCACAGGGGACCCCGGGUUAUACUUAUUUACUCGUAAUAAUCGUAAGGAUUAAUUACGCGCGGAUGCUGUAUACUAUCGCAAAACAAACUUAAUUUGUUUCAGCGUCCUAAUGUGCAUCCAUCGUUCGCCGUGUGUGUUGAUGAAGAGUGAUCGCGUGCGCACCGUCAUUCUCAUCACCAAAACACGAUUGUAUCCAAAAUAAUACAUUUUCGGUUUUUUUUUUUUUUUUUUGAGAAAUAGAUAACACGCUACCUGCUUCGUUUAUUUCAUUUAGAAAUAAACUUAGCUGGAAAUAUGAAUCAACUAGAAUUCGAACUUAGAACCUCGGGUACCAACUACCAGAUCUUUUGCCACUUGCUCUAAGGACAAUCGGUCUCACCACCAUUUUUUUAUAUUAAUUAAUUAAUGAAAAAGCUACUUUGACUAUUUAUUUUUGUUAAUCUUUUUUUUUCGUCAUUAUCUCAGAUUGAGGUCUAUUAUCUCACUCUGUAACUUAAUUCAUAUUUUUAAUAAAUAAAGCGAAUAAUAUGUUUUUUUUUUCUUACAAAAUAAGUUAUUGACGAGAUGGCCGACUGCUAAUACAUAGGCCCGGUGCUGCUCAGUGCCUCUAAAUGGCAGGACGGACUUAGCUCCUAAUAGCCCUUUCUCCUCCUCUUCAGGCCAUCUCUCUUUUAUUUUACUUUAUGUUUAUCGACUGAUAAUAUAGAAUCAGAGUGCGUUAAUUCUAACUUCUAAAGCUCUAAAAAUAUUGGAGCUUUUGCAGAGUAGCUACUUAGUACAUCCCUAAGUCCUAGAGAAACUCCUAUAAUACAGAUCUAUUUUGGCUUUUAAUCGUGUAAUUUUGAAAGGGUGAAUAGCAGUAUGUAUGUAUGCGCUUGCUCGGCUAUAAUUACUGGUGUAAUGUUGUUCGGAUCGAUAAAUAAUGUGCUCAUUGAGUGGCGCCAUUAAAAAAGAAAGAAACAAUAACAAAAUAUAUAUUGAAAUCUUUCCAAUGACUUUUUUACAGUAUAAAUUAGAAGCUUUGAAAGGAUGAUUUUGUUUUUACGUCCUAAAAUCUUGGUUAUGCUUUCCUUCAAACCAAGGCAUGCGAUGGAUGGUACGGAUUUCUUUAGAUAUAUAUAUAUAUUUUUUUUUUGAGCAUUAGACUGCAAGCUACAUAGAUUUUCCUAAUAAAGCGUUUUCAGUUAGCACGUCAGCAACGAAAUUAAGGGAGAAUUAAAUAUGGGAUGCGCUCUAGCUGCAAGCGCUGCUUUUAUAUAUAUAUAUAUAUAUAUAUAUAUAUAUAUAUAUAUAUAUAUAUAUAUAUAGUCAUGUAUCGUCCUCACCUCCUCCGAGUUCCCUCCCUCCUCCCUCUCCUUCAGUUCUGGUCUCCCGCGCUCUGCCUCUCCGCUACCUCUCUCCCUUUUCCUCCCCCCUAGCCUCCCUGUUCCCUCGAUCAUCUUUCCCUCCCUCCUCGCCUUUCCUCUUUCGCCCCCUCCCUCCCCACGUCCCCUCACGUCCCUCUCUCACCUCCCUUUCCCCUACUCGCUCCGCCCAUCCUACCCUCUUUUCCUCCAAAUGUUUUUUUUUUUUUUUUGGAGAGAGAGAGAUAGUAGCAUGCCCUGCUUCGUUUAUUUCAUUUAAAAUAAUUUUAGUUAAAAAUAUAAAUCAACUAGAACUCGAACUUAAAUAUAUGAAUACCAACACCACAAUUUUUAUUCACUUGCUUUAGGAACGGUUAAUAUCCUGCCAAAUGCUGUGCCCCUUGUGUGAACCAAGGAGCGUUUAUAAAAGUAUAUUAGAUAUUUAAAUUUAACGGGAACGCUAGUAUUACGAUCGUACGUGCUCGUACCGUAUUCAUAAUCUACGGCGGGAGAGAGGUGUUGAGGAGGAGAGAGCUCCGACGUUGGCAGAGCAGCGAGGGCGGUGUACGGGACGCGUAGCGAAGAGUGGACGCGCACGCGGGACAGCGUGGCUCCCCUAGUUGGGGAGGGGCUCGAUGCGACACCGUGGCAAAGACGGGGGAGAGGUUCGCGCGGAUCGCCCCGUCGCAUCGUAUCUACGGCUUCGACGGGACUGUCGGCUACGAAAAGCCUACACUGCACCUUUCCACGCGACCGGCGCUGCGUGCGCACGCCGUUACCACUCGUAAUCACGAUGCUCCUUUUAACUGUUAAAAUAAAUAAAAUUAAGAAUUUGAAUGGUCUUUCAAAUCGCCACUUUAAAUACAGAUUUAAAAUUAUAGCUUUUCGGACGUCUUUCUCCAUGUGUCAUUCGGGGUUUUUUUGCAAAAUAGCCCCCUGACAAUUUUUUUUUUAAAAUUAGCCUGUGUAAAAAUUAUUUGCAAAAUGGCCCUGGCCCGCCCGUCAGCGCCACAUCAGCGCCACGCGGGCGGGCUGGGCCAAGUGUUUAAAUUGAACACGGUGAACCAUUCACAGUGUUCAAUACAAAAUUUUUGUAUUGACACGCGUGAAUGGUCACGUGUCCAAUACAAAAUGGCUAAGGGGAUAUAUUUGUUAUUGGACACGGUGAAUCAUUCACCGUGCCAAUACAAAUAAUUGGACACGGUGAAGUUCACCGUGUCCAAUACAAACACCCAUAACUUAGCCAUUUUUGCUAAGUCGGAUGUAUUUGUAUUGGACACGUGAACCAUUCACCGUGGUCCAAUACAAAAUUUUGUAUUGAACACGGUGAAUGGUUCACCGUGUUCAACUUAUACAAUUGGCCCAGCCCCGCCCGCGUGGCGCUGACGUGGCGCUGACGGGGCGGGGCCAGGGCCAUUUUUGCAAAUAAUUUUUACACAGGGCUAUUUUCGAAAAUAAAAUUUUUUAGGGGGCUAUUUGCAAAAAAAGCCCGUCAUUUCGGUUCCCCUGAUUUGUAGUUUCGGUCUAUUCAAUCUCUUCGGAGGGUGAGUGUAGAGCCCAAAUUCAACCACCAGCAUUAUUAAUACCAAAAAAUUUGUUGAGAUUAUUUAGCUCAUAAUCGACAAAUUUUUUGGUCCUUUUUAUUCUUUCUGUCACGCACUCCUGGAAUCCCAGGACUGCAUGCAUUUUUUUUUUUUUUUAAGAAAUAGGUAGUACCUGGGGAUGCAAAUGGAUCCGGGUUGGUGGAGCUCCGUCCCAAUCCGUCUCGAAUGGGAUGGUAAGUGAGAACAAAAAUAUAAAAAAACAUAACCCGCUCCAAAUCCGUCCCGAUCCGCCAAGUAAAUGGAGCGGGAGGCGGGAGACUCUUUUCUUCCUUCAAUCUACCCCGAUCCGUUAAAAAUCCGCUCCCGCCCCGCUCCCGUCCCGAUCCGCCUCGAAUGGAGCGGUAAAUAGGAGCCAAAAAUAAAAUAAAAAAUAAUCCGCCCCGAAUCCGCCCCGCCCAGAUAAGAAAUGGAGCGGGAGAUGGGGGAACUCUCCCGCCCUCGGAUCCGCCCCGUUUGCAUUCCUAGUAGUACGUUAUCCGCUUCGUUUAUUUCAUUUAAAAAUAAAUUUAGCUGAAAACAUGAAUCAACUAGGAUUCGAACUUGGAUCUCGGAUAUCAACCACGAAACCCUUUACUACUUGCUCUAGAGACGGUCAACUGCAUGCAUUGUUAGACCGAUCUCUCUCCAAAAUGCUCAGAAUAUGAAUUGUAUUUCAGGGUUAAAAAGCCCUGUGCCUAUUUUAGGCGCAUCCAAUAUGCAUGCCAACAUAAUUGAGCUCUCUUUUAAUAAUAAUAACAAUAAUUAUAGAAAUAGAAAUAAUAAUUUCUAGAAAUGUGUAUGCAGACUUGUUAAAAAGCGCAAAAAAAAGAAUUCCCGGCAUGAGCUCUUAUUCCCACGUGUCGUACAGGCAAUCCGGUUUCAUAUUUGGGCCGCAGCAUUUACAUGUUUUUUUUCUUUAUUAUUAUUAUUAUUAUUUUUUAUCUCUACUUAUGAUCCGUGGUUGUUGGAUUCAUGCUUGCUUUUGCACAAGCAUCUAAAGAAAUGCUUUUGGGUUUGCUUUUGCAGUAGCAUCACAUUGCCGGGUAAUGCCAAGCGCUACACUCUACCACGAAAGGUAGGAAGGAAAGUUUUUUUUUUUUUUUGAGAUAAAGGUAACAUGUUACCCGCUCUACUCAUUUGGAAAAUGAAUUCGGUUACAUAUCUUGAGGCAACGGGGACUCGAGUGAGUCAAACAACUGUGGAAGCAAAUAAAUAAAUAAAUAAAACGAAGAGGUUAUAGCCCUUCCUCAAAUAUUACCUAGAGCUGCAAAAUUCAAUUCAUUUUUUUAUCAUUUUACAAAUUUGUCUAAUAAUUAUUAAGGCGUCGAAAGAUUGAUUCUUAAAAAUUACAUUAUUUCUUUCUCACCAAAUUAUUCACCAACAAACUACCAUACUAGUUAGAUCCUUCUUAGCUGCCCCGUGAGUGUUGUUCUCCGGAAUAUAGUCCCAAACUCUCUUGACCUCCUCCACAAGCCUUGGGAUAAAUCUUUUUUCUAAAUGAUUGAACAUGGAAUCUCUACUAAGAAUACAUCCCACAAGCAGAUGAUCGCCGAUUUUGAGUUCACUGCCGUACAAAUCACAUUAUUGGUUUCCGGAUCAAUUUCUUUUAAGCAGAUUGUCUACUAUAAGUAGGCGCUUUUUCAAGACUACUAAGAUAAAAGUCUUAACUUUAGAUGAAAUUUUAAGUACCUAAACUUUCUAUAGAAGGACAUCUCGAAUGUCCGUCGCUGAUCAAUUUAUACAUUAAAUCAAUUUAUACAUUGAUUUAAUGGUGAAACACAAUCACGCAUUCUAUCUCCAUCAUAUUUCGUCAGGUUUGUGAGUGACAUGGAAUCUUGAAAGUAGCUCUUUGAGCUCCACUGAUUCCAUCAGGCCAAAGGAAAGUUGAAAUGGGAGUGGUUGUGCUGUAGCGGCAGGAAGGAUCAUAGUUUUUCCUUUUUCCUUUUUCCUUUUUCCUUUUUUCUUUUUUCGGUUGAAAACCUAUUUUUAUGAUUUAUGACUUCUCAACCCUGUAAUCAGGCUAUAACUAUGAAACCAGUGGGACGUGGGGCAUAAGCUUCUAUCAAUUGGAACUAGGACAGAACGAGGAGGAUGAUAAAGGGCAGGAGCUGGGACAGGACGGGUUGGAUGAUGAUUGACAAACUGCAUCACUACUUGAUCACCCACAGCGUAUAAAGAAUCAGCACAGAUCAACAUGAAAUACUUGGGUUGGGUUGGGUUGGGUUGGGUUGGGUUAUGGCGAGCAUAGCCUAGCGGCUGCUGCUGCUGCAAUAAUACCGGUGUUCUCUAAUCUCUACACACAGCUCGAGCUUUAGCAUUGAAAUCAAUAGCACAGUGAAGAGUAAAAUAGUAAACCUAGUAUUCAGGUAUUCUCAAACGCACUCAUGCAAAUAUGCAACACAAAAAGAUACUCGAGAUAUUCAGAACACAAAGUAAGAGCAUUUAUUUUUCACCUCAAUGUAUGAUAAAUGACUACAAUAACCCACCUGCAAAAAGACACCCCGCGACAAUAGGGAACAAUAAAAUAAAAUAUGUGUUCUUCAGGAAAAAAAAAAAGAAAAAGAAAAAGAAAAUUUUGACUAAGAUAUUCAAUUCAAGCAAAGUAAAUCGAAGUUGAAUAGACUAAUCUAUUUGCCAUUGGCCGUGCCGUUGGGCAAUGCAGCUGCAGCUCCAGACGAGUUGAGCUCAUCCCACGCGUCGAUCCAGGUGACCAUAGCAUCCGCGAGCUUAGUGAAGUAGGGGUCCACUUUCCCAAGCUUCUCUCUAACCUGCUCGGAGAGCGCAAUGUAGCAUUUCUGAACAGUGGUGCACUCCUUCGAAAGGGCUACGGACUGGAAGAAAGGGAUUAUCUCUUCUUGCCAGAAUAUGCCCUUGUACUCCUUUUUCAAGUUCACAAAGGGGUUGCUCGCCUUGCUGUGCCAGAUAUAUGGCAAGCCAGUCUUAACUCCCAAUCCCAAGUGAUCACAGAUAACCUGGAUUAUUUAUCACCAGUCUUAGAGCUUAGGAAAUACUAUUAUCGCCGCCUAUUCCAACUAAAGAGGAAAAUGAACUAGACCCCUUAAACACCGUGCUUUUAUAGACGGCCAUCCAAACUUUCAACAUUGGAAGGAAACUGUUGGUCGUGCCUAACAUAGCCCAUGAUCGUCAUGUGACGCUAGACAGUUUUGCCUAACCCUCUUCUUUUGUAUGCCUAGAUGAGUUAUGAGCAUUCCAGUCAUUUGGCUCUCAAUUGACAAACAAUUGUGAUCAAAAGAUGACUGACAUAAGAAAUAGGUGAUUGAUUUAAACGGCCGGAUUGUUCUACUAUUUUUUAAAAGUUUGCUACUUCAGGCAGCAAUAUGUAGAGCAUGAUAGUUCAGGGGCCCGGUGGAUUGGGGAUGGUAAACCAUUAACGGCAAUCACAUAAUAUAAGCUGAGAACAUGAUGAAAGCAUUGAGAAAGCAAGCAGAAAUACGGACCUUCACACACCAUCCGGCCCACAUGUCAUCGUAACGUCCAAUGGGCUGGCCGUCUCCCAUAAGCCCAAAGUACAUUGCAGGUCCAAUCAGCUCACGGUCGAAAGCAAGGUUCAUACCGCACAUAGGGAAUAAGGUUCCCUUAGGCACAGUAAGAACAGCGUCCACAUACCUUAUGGGUCAAAACAGAGAAAUAUUAACAAGAUUUGAUAAAUUAAAAGAAGACGCAAACCAUGAGACCCUCCAGCGUUAAAAUGAUUAGGCACCUUGUGUUUCUCUCACGAGGCUUGACAAGCUGGGUCGGAGCAUCAUAGUCAGGAAUGUUGAGCCAAAGGCCGUGAGAAACAGCAGUCGGUACACCUUCUCGAAGGCUAAAAGGAUACCCACGAACAAAGUCCGCACCUUCGCAAUAGGGAUCGUACAGAGUGUUGAAGAAGAAGGGCGUCGAAGGGCACAGAAGGUUCUUUAUGUGCUGCUCAAGUGCAUUGAUAUCUUUGCCUGAUGGGUUCUUUGCCACCUAUUUGAAAUAUACAAAUGGCAUUAUAUUAAAUAACAAUAUAAUUGAAAAUAGCUAAGGUCUGUAUUCAUCAGGAGCACUUUCUUCAUUGCAUAUCAAGCAGACAGAAUAACGAAGCACAAAUAAAUAAAUAAAUAAAUGUAUCCUGUGCACGUGUGUAUAUAGUAUUCCACAAUCCAUAAAAUAUAGAACCAGGGAAUGCAUAUAUGACGGCAGUGCUGCCGACCUUGGAUAUGGAAGUAAAUCUUUCCUACGUUGCUCAAAUUUUCGUUAACAUAAAAGGUAAAUUUAGAUGUUUAUAAAAAGAAAAGUUUACAGGAUGGUUCAUCAUAGCUGGAGUGUAUGAAUAAAGAUGAUUGAACCAUUUGACUCACGACUUUUAACAAGGCAAAUGCCCAAAAGGAUCAAUGCCAUUGAUUUCAGCAUGUGCUCUAAGAAACUCUUUACUAAAGUCCAUGGUACCAUUUGCUACUGCUGUAGUCCACCACAGCAUGAUGUUCCACAUGGAUAUCUCACCUACCAGUGGGUCUCAAAAAGAAGUACCAUUAUUUUGGUGGAAGUUGCAGUAGCAUGUGUUACCGAUUCAAAGUGUUAAUUUACUACAUUCUUUAAGAAAAUUAUAAAGUAAAAUUCAAAUAUCGACAUUGCACAACUCCCAUUCUCCAGCAAUCUAAUCAAUUUAAAGACGGUGACAAUUUUUAUUUUAUCACGGAGAAGGAAACGGGUAAUUGUGUCUUUAACUCCCAUAGACCUAACAAUCUAGAGAUUGAAGCAGCAAACUAGUUUAGACUAAGGUAUAUAUUUACAAUUACAGUUUAAUUUAAACCAGUUGCAAAUAAUAUGGCCAAAGAUGUAGUUAGCAAUGUUAAAGAACGAAAUGGCUAUCGUACAUAAAUUCAAUAAUUUCCUAAAGGCAGAUGAGAAAGUAAAAGAAGCUGCAGCAGAUGCGAAUUGCAUGAGGAAAGCACAAGGCAAAUCCGCAACAUCCAACUCCACAGACCAAAAAUUCCUAACCAAGGUAAGGAAAAUUUAAGAAAAAAAGAAAAAAGAAAAGAGAGAAACGGAAAUGGAAUUGGAAGUUCCCCCUGAAAGACUAUCUUUUCCAAGCGAAAUCUAAUUUAUCGUGAGAUAAACAGUAACCGCAACAAUCCGUAGAUUCCCCGUGCGCAAGAUCGCACCUUUCUCCCCUAUCCCAACUCCCCCAUCACCCUAAAACCUCAGACCCGGACUCAAAAUUAUCUCAGAUCAAAGCAAAAGUGCGAAUUAAGAAAAAAAAAACACACACACACACACAGAGAUAGAGAGAUGAGGGAGAAGGGGGAGCAACUCACGAAGCAAUCGUCGUCGAUGGUGUAGAUGUACUUCUUCUUGGAGACCAUGUAGCCGAAGCAUCGGCAGGCCGAGUCCUUGAAGGAGAUGCAGGAGGCUUUGGGGCCGAGGAUCCGGUUGAUGUCGUUGCGGUUGUAGAGCUCGUAGUCGAAGCCUUCGGGGACCUUGAUGGUCUUCGUGGGAUCCCCAUCCUGCACUAUGAUCAGGUGGUAGUGCUGGAAAAAGGGCCUCCACAUCUCCAAAAAGUCCAAGUUCCGGAUCGUCGGGAUCACGAUGUCGAGCUCAUCGUGGAGAGGCGGCGUCAUCGGAACCGACCCACUCGCCAUUGCUACAGGAGGAGGAGGAGGAGGAGGAAGAAGAGGAGCGGUGAUUUGAACAGAGAUGGAGUUGGGAAGAGAGAGAGAGAGGGGUGGUGUAUUUAAAAGGGGAGCGGGGGAGUCGGGAGGGGGAGGGGGAGGAGGACCCGUUCUGUGUUUGACGAAGAGAAUUGGAUUGGAAUAAAAGUGUGGUUAUACUUAAUCAACUUAUUAAUCAUUUUUCUCCUCCACGAAUUGAUCUGACUUUUACUUGUUACUACUGCAUUAUGCUUAUUCUUAUCCCAACAUUUUAUUAUCAGAAUAGUCUAGUAACAAUUUUGCAAAUAGAUUGUAAUAAAAUUUAGAUAAUCAAAACAGUUUACUAAAAGAUAUAUUUAUAUAUAAUUCAUAUCUACUAUCAUAAUUAAAUGGCGGAUAUAGUUAAGUCUUGAUACUUAGAUAAAAUUUUCAAGUAUAAAUAACGAGUCAGCCGGUUGAACUAAAAAAAAAUUAUAAAAUUAUUUAUACAAUUCAAUUUGAUCGAGCGACUAGUAGUUUAAUGAUGAGGAAUUUGAUCGACAACCUAUCCAUUAGGCCAUAAAUUUGACCUCUGCUAAAAAAAAUUCUGAGCAUGAAGGCAGCCUAAUAAAUUAGGUAAAUGGACGGAGUCCAACCUAAAUAAGGUAUCUAGAUACAGUGCACGAGACUGCCCAAAAUCAACAAGCAUUAAUGAUGCAUGCUUGAAUGGGUAAAUUGCGCUUCAAUUGGCUUGAUCCACAACAAGAGAUGAGGUAGAGGGAGUAGAUCUAUGCAAGUAAUUCAUGCGUUGAAAUAGCCAGUUUUUGGUGGCAUACGCACUAGUAGGCACGUACGGCAUGGGAAUGCGGGAAUAUUUGAGAUGGUUAAGCAUCGGCGCCAUCACUUUGAUGCAAAAUCAGGCACAUGAUUUUUCUUCGUCGUAUUGAGUUGGAAAGGGGAAUGGGCCUAACAUGCUUUCUCAAGUCAACUUUCCCCCUUCUAUGCAUCUUCGAUCCCCAUAUUUAUAUAUUAUUAUUAUUAUUAUUAUUAUUUUGCAUUUUGCAAUUUUCUAUGGCGUCGAACCAAACUCAACACAACGUGAGUCCACAUGCGUGGUCCUCUCCUCUGGCGUGGCAUCUUCUCAUUGGCCCGUUCGUACCGAACUUGUCAAACUGGGCGUUAAAGAAUCCACGGAAGGGAAAGCGUUGCAUAUGUGGUGUCACAUGUGCGUGGUUGAGGUAUGAGCAAUCCAAAGUGGAAUUUACUUUGAUUUUUGUUCCACUACGUGCUUACAAAAGUUUGUAAUUAAUGUGCGGGAAUAUAGAGACUUUGUCGUUCGAGAGUUUAGGCAAAAGGGUGUUAAGAAGCAGGGAUUGGGUCAAAUCACGAUCUGAAUUCGAACCCGAUUUACUACCGGUAAUUGAUAUAUUUGUUUCCACGCAUGUUUACACAGGUUAUUAUUAUUUUUUCUGGAUCUUAAUUUAAAACCAAGUAUGACGCGAUCGAUAAAGUGCCUAUUUGCUUGGAUUUUGCAAACAAGUUACCUGCUUUGACGAUGGACAAAAAAUAUAGGAGGUUCUUGUUAUGUUAACAAAACCUACAUAAUAAUGCUUUUAAACCAUCGACCGUUCCUAGCACGAGUGGCAAAAAUUUGGUGGUUGGUAUCCGAAAUCCCAAGUUCGACUUCUAGUUGAUUCAUAUUUUCAGCUAAGUUUAUUUCUAAAUGAAAUAGACAAAGCGGGUAGCAGUUGUAGUUUCAUUGCAACCGGAUGCUGUUACUGGAUCUUUUAACUUUACUGUUGGUAGUGCCUUUUGAACCAGGAUGCUGUUACUGGAUCUUUUAACUUUAAAGUUGGUAGUGCCUUUUGAACCAUAAAAAAUAAUAACAAUAACAAUAAUAAUAACAAAUUCUAACCCAAGGCACAAAUAGGUGUAAAGCAUUGUUUGGUACGUGACAAAGAUAGGAAUAAGGAUACAUAUUUUCUUAUAAACUUGCUCUCUGAUAAAGACAAAACCUACCUACCGACUACCGUCGUUCGUGGCGGAUGGUGGUGAUUCGCACGACUCGCUCGAUUUUCCGAUAGUGGAUUUGAUGAUGAUAUCUUACAAACGCUUUGUCAAGAAAAAAAGGGAAGCACCGACAAGAGGGCCGAUGCGGAUGCACGUAGACGAGUGGUGUUGGCCGAGCCCAUCGAGUGCGAUCCCUAGUGGAGGACCUAGGCCCAGCUUAAAUAAACAGGAGAAGGCCCCUCUCAUCAACACAGCAAUAGCAUACAUACAUAAUGAACCCGACAAGCCCAAUUAUGGCCCUGGGCCUAUCGAGUUCGGGUUUAGCCCGAAACAAGUCACGUUCACUUCACGCGACCUUGGGCUCUCCAAGGAUUCUAAUUUGGAAGCCCAUUGUGAUUCAUUAAUGGGAGAGGAGGGGUAAGACUAAGGGGGGAAAAAGAGAGAGAAAAACGGCGGCGCUUUCGCGAGGGCUGCCGAGUGCCGACUCCUCCACUACAGAGUACAGAGGGGAACUUAGGGAAGGGGAGAGAGAACUCAGAAGGGAAGUAGGGAAGGGAAGAGAGCGCGCCGCGCUUCGACGACAUGAACCCCCAGGGAGUGCAGAAGAACACCGUCUACGUAGGUAAUUUUGUUUUGUUUUUUUAAUAAUAAUAAUAAUAAUAAUAAUAAUAAUGAUCGAAUCUUGAAUUUCCUCGAAUGAAUCAUUCUAUGUGUCCGAGGGCCUCGCCUUUGUGUUCGACGAAUUGCCUCUGCGCAGGGGGUUUGGCGGAGGAGGUGGACGAGAAGGUACUGCACGCGGCGUUCGUGCCGUUCGGGGACAUAAAGGACGUGAAGACGCCGCUGGACCAGGCGACGCAGAAGCACCGCUCCUUCGGCUUCGUGACCUUCCUGGAGCGCGAGGACGCCGCCGCCGCCAUCGACAACAUGGACGGCGCCGAGCUCUUCGGCCGCGUCCUCACCGUCAACUACGCCCACCCGGAGCGCAUCAAGGGCGGCGAGCAAGGAUGGGCCGCCCAACCCAGUACGCCUCCGCCGCCUCCUCCUCCUCCUCCUCCUCCUCUUCUCUUUCCCCCUCUUUUCCCUUGGAUUACAUUCUCAUCGUUCCUCUUUUGUCGUCUGUUGUCGUCUUUUGUUGUCUUUUUGUUGUCUUUUGUUGUGUUGCGCGCGGUAAGAGAAGAGAAGAGAAGAGAAGAGAAGAGAAGAGAUGAGAUGAGACUGAUCUGCUUUUGCUUUUGCCUUUCUGUUUUAGUUUGGGCGGACGCGGAUACGUGGUUCGAAAGGCAGCAGCAGGAAGAGGAAAUGCAGCGCCUGCAGGCCGAACAGCGAGCUGCGAUGCAAGAAGGGGAGAAGCUGGCUCAAGAGAGAGAGGGCGAGAAGGACGAAGAAACAGAAACCGAUGCCGCCGCCGCCGCCGCCAAUCCUAUGGCUAUUGCAGAGGCAGAGGCUGAGGCCUUGAGAGCCACCUCCCAAAACUCGUAGGAGCAACUGUAAAAGUGGACCUUAAUUUGACGUGUUGGUCCGCUUGCUUUGCUUUGCUUUGCUUUUCUUUUUCUUCUCGUUCUGCUUGUACUGCUAGGUUUGCACUAUCGCCUGCUCUAUUAUCGAUUUGGGAAAGGAUUGCUGCUGUAGUUUUCUAAUUCAUUUUCUGCCAGAAUUGAACUUGGUGUGAAGUUGAUUUCUGGGGUUUAAAAUUUCAUGACUUCCAUGAAUACAUAUAUGUUCUGGUUUCGGUCUAUCCCGCCGAUUACGGCCGUUCUGUUAGCCUGCAGUUUGUGCAAAGUUAGUUCCGAACAGGUUGGUUACAAGAUGAAAAUUAACACGGCUAGUCUCAGGAAGGUAUGUUGUUUUUUGGGCGGCAUUUUGGUGAUUCAUUGGUUAUGUUUUUACGGCGACAAUGCAACCUAUUGAUGAGUAUCGUCUUCUCCUAUGUGGCUAUUUCUCAUACUUAUACUUUCGAUUUACAUACCUGAUGGAAAAGGACUCGCAUUACCUGUCUAAUAAUAUAAUACGAUCAUUAGCACUAACAAUGACCGGGAAAUUGGCACCACAGAUGAUGACAGAUCAUCUUUCUACGGUGCAGUUUCAUGCGGCUCUUAAAAAGCUAUAGGAAUUUUACGUAUUAAGGAAGAAGAGGAGAGAAUUCUUACUUUCCUACUUGUAUUUACGCACCUCCAGGCAUGAUUUGGAGAAUUAGGAAAAACAACAGCUUAUCAUCAGGUAAUUAUUGCUUCUGAUUCUAUUUGUCCAGAAACAGCCUAGUUGUGUUGCUUCUUUUCGAGUCUGAAACCGAUGUUGGCUGUGCAGUAUACUUCAGAUUGGGACCUUUCAUCUGCUUCUCAUUUCUUUGCUUCCUUUUCAAGUCCUGCUACUGUGGACAAGUAUUAAUCUUAUACACAAAUACAAAUAAGCUCAGAACAUGAACAUCAAUCAUCACCAUCUUAUCUUCGGAGAGAUUAUGUAUGUGAAUCAUUUAAUUAAUUCUUUUUAUUGGUAAAUUUCCAUUGGAUUUAAGAUCAGUUGGUUGACUCUUGGUCUUCUAUAUUUAUAUAUUUUUCCCUAAAUAUUUGUGGAAGUCCUAAGAACAUGCUUUACACACAAAAAAAAAAAAGGCUACAAUAUAUAUUUAUAUAUAUUUUUUUCCUAAUCAAAGAAAAUGUUAUAUUAGUGUCUCUUUUCCACCUACAAUAUAUAUUUAUAUAUAUUUUUUUCCUAAUCAAAGAAAAUGUUAUAUUAGUGUCUCUUUUCCACACCAGCUAGCAGUACGUUGGGAAGUUCUCUCAAGUUUCCCCCACUUUUUCUCUUGCAACCAAGGCAUUGCUUUAACACACAGGAACGUUGCAUAAAGAGAUAUAUAUAAGAGGAGUGGACACUAACCGGCAACUGAUGAGCUAUUGCACCUGCUGCUGCUUUUUUUCUCCUCUGUUAUCGUAUAAAAGGCUCCUACAUAAUCAUUUCGCCCCGAUUGAAACUGAGAUCAAUGCCGAUACAAACAACAGCAUUGUGUCUUGCCUUGUUGAGAGAUCUGAUGCUGUUUUCCUCACCAAUCCCCGCCCAUCAUUCUCUGGUAAGAUAUAUUUGUCAGCGUUGCGCCUUGCCCCUUGUAUAAACUAGCCUUAGCAUGAUUUUGUUCCAGUGGUUGAAUGAUCUUGAGUGCUCUGUGGAGUGCUUUGCGAAUCUAUCACAUAUUGGCAGUUCAAUCUUCCUUCAGUUGUGAAAGAAUACUGGGUAUUAAUUUGGCUAUGCAAAUUCAAUUCAGUUCAUUACCAUGGUUAUAUCUCUCUACCAUAAGUUCUCUAUAGCUUUUACAGUUGAACUUUUUAGUCUGAAUUAGCAUUCCUAAAUCAGUUCAAAACACAAAGCAUUGGCAGAUUAUUGCACUCCAUAUUUAUUUGCGUAAUCAAGGAUCAAUCUUCUGUCUCGAUGACAUACUAAAUACUGAUAGAAUUCUUAACUGAAGGUUUCAGUAUCAUUGUUAUGGACUUACCAGGUAAUGCACUCCCAAAACCUUGUGUCCUUUACCAAGGACAGGCACCAUAUAUUUGGUGUAAAUUCUCAGAGUUUCUUCUGAUGUGGUGUCCCUGGGAACUAAUGCGAACCAUUCUAGACUAUUUAGUGGGGUAUUUGUUAUCGCAUUAUCUGCUUCUGUUGAAGAACCUCACACAACUCAAUUUUCCAUCUUUAAUUUCCAUUGGGUGGAUACCUUAGGCUUUUCCUCUCUAGAAAAUAUCCCCAAUUGUGUCUUCUCCUGUUCAUACACAGUUUUACUACAGAUGGGCAGAGCUCAUGUCCCAAAUUUUCUGAUGGUAGUGCCCCAUUACAAAAACAGAAGGCCAAAUAUUUGCUGAUGUUCUAUUGUACUGGUAAAUUAUUCUUAAUUAUUUGCGACUCUCUUUUAAUUGCAACAAGGAGGAUUUUUUCGGUUUAAGAAUUCAUUAAUUCUCCUUUAAUGAGCAUCAAAAUCAACUGAGCAAUAUCAUAAUUUAGAUUUAUAAUUUCCUACUGUUUGCAAUAAUGUUAUGACGGUAAUAUUUCAGUUGCUAAAUUAUAUCUAAAAUCUCCAAGCCACCAAAAUUCAUGCCGCAGUUGACCUUACUAUUUGCCAGUUCCAGCACAUAUAUAGGCAUGUACUCCUUUUCAAGUGUUACAAUUUUUUUUCAAGUAGGGGGGCUCAUGAAAUGAAGUACAUUAAGGAGAUCACAAGCUCAUAUAACGACUGUACUAAGAAACAAUGCAGGGGAUCAAUGGAGAAUGAUAAUUAAGCUACUCAAAAUUAUAUAUUUUAUAAAAUAAAAUACUUAAUCCUCAACAUCAAUGAACAUUGAGUUCUUGUUCAAUAAUCUUAUCAAACAUUAUUGGAAACAGCCCCAUUUUCCUACAACAAAUAAUGUCAUACAAAUAGACUACACUCUGAGUACAUUAUGAAGUUCUACUACAAUACAAUAGCAGAAUGCAGUAACAAAGUCCAUUGAAUUGAGAUUUUCUCAGUAUACAGAACAAUAAAUACAACAUGGCCAAAGUGCAAGCAAUAACCUGAAGCAGCUUCAUCCCGAUUCCUUUAGCAAAUUUUCCAGCUUGAGACUCUAAAAUCCACCAAAAAAAGCUUGUUGUACUUCCCAUGGAACAUACCCAAUAGCUUAAUUUCCUUCAUUAUACAAAAAGCAGCAAGCCCAUGAGGACCAUCCAAAAGACCCUAACACGAAGUGAGAAGGGUCUCUUUGAUAGAGGUGAAGCAUUAGGCAACCAUGGAUAUGCAUCUGGAGGUGGCAUAACACAGUUAUCGCCGUUGAAAUAAAUGCGGCGUGGAUAAGCCCAUCCCUUGUCAAAAGUGAAGGUAUUUGCGUCUUUCCUGAAAAGAAGUUCGGACUGCACGUUUCCAUAAGGACCAGCUUCCAUAAGCAAAUCAUUAUAGAACUUUAUCCCCCAAAGCAUUGCAGUAUCAUCUGAAGAGAGAGAAACAUUUGAAUGGGGCGGGCAUGUAAGUAAUUGAGUAAUUAAAUGUAGUGAAUACAUAGAAAAAUAGAUAUAGAGAAAUUUCAUUUGGCAAGACGACUUACUUAUAGCAGCUCCGUAAGGAGUGAUUGACUUGUAAUUAAAGCUAAACAGUUGGGUGAGAUUAUCAAAGUUAGGAUGCUGAACAACCAAGUUCCACUGGGUGUAAUUCAUGCGGUAAUUGAAGUUCGUGAUAGUGAUCUUCACUCGCCAGUAGUCUUUAUAGUUAAGCUUCACGUGCCAGUGCACUCUGAUGGGGCACAUAUGCGAAGUGCACUGAACCAAAGGCUGGUAACUAUAUUUGCCAGGGCCAUUAAUGGCAGAAGCUAGAUAAGGUGAAUCACCCCUGUGAAAAGUACAUAAAGAAUUAUCAAUGUUGUACUAAUUUAUAAUAAAUAUGCAAAAUAACAGAGCAAAGAAGUCAAUAUAACUCACUCCACGCAGCUUCCUGGUUGAGUAUUGUUGUUUUGGCAGCCACAAGAGCAUGUUGGGCAAUUGACGAUGGUGUCAUUAUAGAAAGAUGAGAGAGAUACACAGCAUGUUGGAGUCUUCUGAGCAAGAAAUUGGGAGUAUGUGCAGGUAACAUUCCAUGUCACUGCAUCAAGAUGGAGACAAGUUAAUCAGAUAUGACAAAUGAAGGAAGAUAGACACGACAGAAAUAAUAAAUCAGCAUCAUCAGGUAUUUUUUCAAAUUAUCUUAUAUCUCCUUAUGGAAUAAAAUCCUCAAACAACCCAGAUGUUCUGAAUAUAAUCUACAUAAAGUUUCGUGGUUGCAACAGAAACAAAAUAGUUGCUUGAUAUUUGCUGCUUUAAACAUCACAGGAGCAUCACUUUGUAGUAGCAAGAAUUCAGUUAUAUAGUAACUUUUUAGUACUCUGUUACUUUGAAAUUUAUUGCCACAAUUUAGACAGCAGAGCUUAUAUAAGCUGGAUAUCAGAACAACAUACUGAUGCACAAGAACUAUGAACUGGUCCUGCUAUCAGUCUUUUUUUCCUUUUCCUCACAAAUACCAACAAAGGAUGUUAAGUCGGUCUUUCAGGUUAGAUCAAUAGUCAAAAUUUCACUUCAUGAUCAUAAAUAUAAAGAAAGCUGCUUCAGUACCCAAGAUUGCAUCAUCUAAAAGAAACAGAGAACUUCAUAAGAGAAACUUACUUAGAGCCUGGGUAGUUCUUCUCCCAUCCUGAGUAACAAACUUAGUGGGCUUCACAAUCUUCGCGAGCCCACAAGUAUAACCAGGCCCAGGAGCUUUAAGUGUGAAGUUCUUGGGCAAUUUGACUGUCUUAUUUGUUGUCCCAGCAAGACCCACGCUAACCUGAAAUGAGCUAGCGGCACUGGCUGGAUCCUGAUUGAAUGAACUAAUAACUCCGGCCUUGCAGCAAUUCGCAAUCUGCAUAUUGUACGGAGUGCCAGGAAGCAGAUCGACAACUGUCGGAUCUCUUUUACAGCAGUGAGGGAUGUUCCCUUUGAAUUUGGAGCAAUCUCCCUGCUCAGUAGUUUGGGCCCCGACCAUUGACCAAAUGACUUCCUUUUUGGCCCAUGUCCAUCCUAGCGUCCAGCCGGGAGCUUGGAUAUGGCGGUAUUGUUGAAAAUUGAACAUCGUGACAACAGCCUGAAAGAGAAUUAGUUGCAUAAUUUAGUAUAUUAAUAGGAAACACGCAAUAAACCCAAAUUUCUGACAUUAGUAUGUACUUACAACAUAGCCAUCAGGAGUCCACUGCAUAACAUCCCAUUUAAUGGUAAUGUUUCCAUUUGGGUCGAGAGAGUCGAAUGCUUCUGUUAAAGAAAAAGAGAAUAUCCAUUAGGGACAGACAUCAAAGGAUGAGAAAGAAUAAUUCCUGCCUUACUCAAAUUUUAAUUACUUUGCCAAGACAGCAAUAGUUGAUAACAAACAACAAGCAUAGAAUAGCAGUUAUACAUUGUUAUAUGGCUUUGAAUUUGUGAUCUAGGGCACACAUCUAAUUUUACAGUUAAGACCCACAAUGUAAACAAAUUUUCUGCUUCUUCAAAAUUAUAGAACAAUUAUUGUAGCGGUUCAAAAAAAUUCUGCGAAAUAUAAAAUAAGAACUCCGUUGGUUAAAAUCAGUAACAACUAACAACUCGGCUCAUAAGGCCUUCAGUUUGGAUUAGCAACCAUCAGAUCUAUCUUAUUUAAUUAGCAAGUCUUGUUCUUAUUUUCGAAGUUUUGAUAAUAAAUGACAAUCGGAUUUAUAACAGAUCUCUUAUCAUGGAGAAUGAAAAAAGAAAUUUUUGAUGCAAAUCUCUAGAAUAGUAAAUGCUAGGGAAUAUAAAUACAAAGAAGUUCCCAAAAAAACAAUCGAAUAAAGUUCCAAACUUCGCUUCCAAGAGGUUCAAAUACUUAAAAAGUCAAAACUGCUAAUUUUGUACAAAAAUUUGCUCCUUUUCCUCGUCAACUUGAUUCGUAUAAAAAGACAGAUCACUGAUUCGUGUUGACUUCCAUUUAGGGGAAAAUUUAGUACGGAAUUGGCCUUAAAGCAUUUCACUCGUAAAUUUCGUAAUUUCCAAUCCUCUGGCAUGAUCAGAAACUGCAAUUACAUUAAAAUGCGGUUGGAUUUAGGAAAGGAAAAGUUGAGAACAUCAGAAAAACUAUAAAAUUUCUUUUCCAAAACCCUUCGCAUCAAUUGGGUUAAAAACGCAAAUCGAAGCAUCUGAAAGAUCAAAUCUCCCAAAGAAACGCGACUGGAUCGUGGAGAAAAACAGGACUAAACAUGAGAUCGAUCUGGCUACGAACCUGUCGAAGUAGGAGCGUUGAGGAUAAGGAGGAGCACGAGAGAAGCGGCGAAAGGUGCGAGCUUUGAGACGAAUCUGAGAAUGGGGGGGUAGGAGGAAGAGCUCAUAGUAACACUACCCACCUCCAUUAUCAGAUCUCUUCGGAGAUUUGAUUCCGAGCUCCAAUGGAGAUUGGCAAUGGAGCCCCGAUCGCGGAGGAGGGGGGAGAGAGAGAUAGUGUGCGUGUGUGUGUGUGCGUGUGAGUGGUAGUGACCUACCUAUACCUCUCUAAGAUCUGGAAUGGAGAGUCAUGGUGGAGGUUAAAGCAUGUGCUAGAGAGAGAGAGAGAGAGAGAGAGAGAGAGAGAGAUGGAGCGUGUGUGUUGUGUUUAAUUCUCCCCCGAUUAUUAUAAAUAAAAUAAGUCACGUUCCGCUUACCCUCCUCCCUCAUUUCGUGAUUUACUACUACAUCCGGAGCAAAUAAGACACCUCGCUGCUCCCACUCUUUUCUUAUUGCCCAAAAUACCCUUAGCAUUUUAAAUUACAACUCCCAUUAAUUAAAUCCGUAUUAUUUGUCGGCGUAGUUUUCUGCACGAUCUAAUAAUAUAUAUAUAUAUAUAUAUAAUUAGACUGGAAUACUAUCGAUAGCACUAAACAUUUGGUGCUAUUAGGUUUCGGCUAUUAGAUGAAAAAAUAUACGGUUACAAUGAUAUGGACCCCCUAAGAUUGAUUGAGUUAUUAAUUAAAUAGUAUAAUCUAAUGAAUAAAAAUAGUUAAAUAAUUAAAUCUAACGGUAGAAAAUUUAAUAGUAUCAAACGCUUGGUACUAUCGAUAAUAUCCCAGCCGGACUUAUAUAUAUAUAUAUAUAUAUAUAUUUAUUUAUUUAUUUAUUUAUUUAUUUUUUCGAGUCGUUCAACGUUUUUAAUAUAAUUCUCGUAAAAUAUUAUACGGUUAUCUUUUUUAUUCCUCCCUAUAUGUGAAAAAAAUAAUAUAAUUAAAUUUAUAGCAAUACCUAAAUUUAAAAUUUAUUUAUGAACAGAUAGAUUAAAUUAUACAUGUAAAAUAAAAAUUAUAAAAUAAAAAAAAUUAAUAAAUAGAAGAAAUUAUUAUAUCAAAUAUUAUGAAAGAAAGAUGGCCUUGAAGCUUUAUUGUAAUAAAAGAAAAAAGAAAGUCAUGACAUUUGUUUUGAUAUUAAUAGAAAAAAAUUAGAAACUCGGAAGAAAAAAAAAAAAAACUAAAAGGAAAUAGAAAGCAGGGGCGAAUAUGGAAGAGCAACAGUUUUGGCGCUCUUGACUAAUGGGAUUAGUUAGAGUUAAUUAUUGGCGGAAGGUGGUAAUGGAAAAGAGCGCAACACAUGCAAGCCGACAAAGAAAAUAAUAAUUAAAGGAAAAACAAAAAACAAAAAAAAGAAGAAGAAAAUGAGUGGGUGUGAUUUUUUGUGAUUUGUGAUUUGUGAGGAGUGGCAAGUUUCCUCCUCACUCUCUUUCUGUCGGUGGUGAGAGAGAGAGAGAGAGAGAGCAUACAUUGCAAGCUUGCCCCUGUACUUAAAACAAAUACGCAUACAAGGGCUCGUCCGCAUAAAGAAAAAUUAAAUAAAAACUAAAAGGGUAAACUUCAAAUACAACCUCUUUGGUUUCGCACUUUUUUAUUUUAGUAUUCUAUAAUUUAAAAUGAAUCAAUUUAGUAUCAUGUGGUUUUAUUUUUCUUUUUUCGCCGGUCCUUUCGUUAACUUUUCGGUAAAUCAUAUACAAAAAACUUUAGAUACCUUAUCUAUAGUUUAUCGAAUAUUUAUUUUAUUACCUUUUAGUUUUAACUUUGUUACUGAUUUAACAAAAAAAAUUAGUGAAAAAAAUAAUAAAAAGAAAAAAAAUAAAAUUACCUGAUACGAAAGUAAUACAUUUUAAAUCAUACAGUGUUUAGAUGAAAAAGUGCGAAAUCAAAAUAGUUGUUUUGAAAGUUUUUUUCUAAAAAAAAAAAAAAAAGGAAGAUCGGGUCCCUAUCAAAUGGUUGGUACUCACAAGGCCAAUGACCCUCCACCAACCGACUUAUUCGAUUAAGGCCUUUUUUAUAAUACAAUAUAUAUGCAUAUAAAUAUUUAUACGCUUGCUUAAUUGAGAGCACCUCAUUAAUCGAAUCCAACGACGGGGCAAAGAAAUUUCCCAUUGCGGGGCCCGCCACGAUGAUUGAAGUUUCAUGACGUUGCUAAUUGCCGUAGAAAAUUCCCAUAAUAAGGAUAUAUAUAUUUGCAUUAAGUAGGUAGCGUGUCCUCUCUCCAGGUUAAUGCACAGAUUACUACUAUUUUGGAGGGUCGUGAUUUUUGAUUAUUCAUGCAUGGUUAGUUGAAAAGCAUAAAUCAUUUUAAAACAAAGUUGGAGGAAACCAGUGUUGAGUGGCAUCUCAUUAUCAUUCAUUGCCCUUUCAUCGAAGGCUAAUAAAUGCCGAGAAAAAUACAUAAUUUUUCAAAUUAAUCUUCUUCUGUACCGAAAGUUAUUACAUUAAAUAAAUUUAUUUUAUUGGUGUAGUUACAUUUAGUUUGCUCUUGCUCUUGCUCUUGGGAUAAAAUCUAUUACAGUAAAUAAAUAUUUUUUUACAAUAUUUUACUUAUAUUAUAACAUGUAAUAUUUUAAUUGGAUUGGAUGAUAUAUGGGUGUAUAAUAUAUGAAGACAAAAUUUUAAUUUAUGAUUAACAUAGUAAUUAACCUGAUAGAACUGAUGAGAAACUGUACCCUCAGCUUUUUGUAGAAAGUAAUACAAUCCUUAAACGAGAGAGAAGUCACCGCAUCCACUGUGUGGUUUAAAGCUGACGUGGUAAACUGUGUUCAGCUAAAUGUUUCUUCUCCUAAAGUGUCCUUUAUCAUUAAAAAAAAAAAAAAAACUUUGUUUUUUUGGGUCCUUUUCCCUGGCGAGCUAGGGUUUUAGAAAUUGAUCACUGCGAGUUAAUUUAGUAGCUCAGAUUUGGGGCUUUUCAGAUAUAGUCGAAACUCAAUCGCCUCGAAAGUGUCGAUUUUGCCUUGAAUUUGUUAUGAAAGUUCGAUUUUUGAAGGAAAAUUUAGAUUCCUACGCUUUCUUUUUAGCUUAAUUUUGAAUCAAAACACUCCCAAAUUCUCCCAAUUAUAAUGGAGGCGUAUUUGGAGCAGACCCUUCAGGAGGGGACGCUCCUUCGCCAGGUUAAUGCUUUGAUCGUCACCCAUCUCCGCGACCACAAUCUCAAUCAGGCAAUGCUCGUUUCCAGUUACCCCAAUUUAUACCCCAAAGUCUCUCCUUUUUUCAAAAAAUUAUUACUUAAAAUUGAUUAGUAAUAUAUAUUUAGUUUAACGUAGGCCGCGACCGCAGUUGCUUCGGCCACCAUGACGCCUUUGAACGCAGAAGCUCCCCCAAACAAGCUUCUGGAACUCGUUGCAAAGGUCCUAUUUUUAAUGCAAUUUUUGUGGGAAAAAAUAUACCUUUUUUUUUUUUUUNAACGCAGAAGCUCCCCCAAACAAGCUUCUGGAACUCGUUGCAAAGGUCCUAUUUUUAAUGCAAUUUUUGUGGGAAAAAAUAUACCUUUUUUUUUUUUUUUUGCUUCAAAUUGUUCUUUUUUAGCUUAUUUGGGUUUUGGUAGGUGCAAAUAGGGUCUUGCGGCGGAGAGGGACGAGGCGUCGAGGGGAGUUUCUUCUGGUGGUGUUGGUGUUGAUUCUUUUGGAGGGAUGUUGGCAGGAUAUGGCAUGGUUCAUCUUCCUACCAAUGCUGUAGAUUUCAGGUGAAGUGCGCAUAUCGGGCCUUUUCCGUGUAAUAGUGUCAUUUUUGCAUGUUAUGUAUCACAGUAGUGUAGACAAUUCUACAAUUAUUUUUUUUUGAGCUGCCCCUUAAUGCAUCUUUUUGCUGUUGUCAUUUCGAGAUAUUUGGCUGAUAUAUUGAAUUAUGAAACCAGUGCGGUGCAGGAUACUAAAGGUUCCUCCAAGAGCUUCCCGAAGCAUGAGACCAGGCAUGUUUCAGAGCAUAAGGUAUUGGAAUGAUAGUUUGUGACGCCUUUCGUGGUUUUCUCAAAAUCCUUUAAGUAACUGGGCCUUUUGUUAUAUUACUUGCCGACAGUAGGUGAUUUGUGAUUUACGGGUUGAUAUAGAUUUUUGUGAUCGACUGAAGAAUCAAUGUGAGGAGUACCUAUGUCCCCAAUGUGUUAGAAUCACCUGUGCUAUAGAUAUUGACUUUGAAUGCUCGGUGUUCGUAUGUUUGUGCUCUUUUAAGCAUGCAUGUCUCGGACAUGCAUUUAGUGAUGGCUUUUUUGUAUUCAUAUGUGAACAUGGUGAAGAUGUAUUGUGAUUUGUUCUGCCGUUUAGAAUGCUGCUAGAUGUGCAAGAUUCAGUCCUGAUGGGAGAUUCUUUGCAACUGGGAGUACGGACACAUCUAUCAAGCUUUUCGAGGUAUGCUUCAGUUAGUAUUGUGGUAUCUGUACACAAUCAUGGUUUCUGAAUGCUCUUCAACAGUCCUAUUUGUUUUCCCUAGGUUUUAAAAGUCAAGCAAAUGAUACUUGGAGAUGGCAGGGAUGGUCCUAUUCGCCCUGUUGUUAGAACAUUUUAUGAUCAUUUACAGGUAGCCAUGGUUUACUUUCUCUUCUUAUUUAUGUACUGGAAGACUUUAGCAUGAAAUGUUGUCAGGACAAUUUUUAAUAAGCUAUUGAAAACUUGUAUAUGUUGCGAGUUUUAGAUAAUGUAAUAAUUUGGGCAGUAAUCAAUUCAUGUAAUGUAAGACCCCUUUUAUUUUUUGAUAUCCCUAAAUGCAAAUUGCUAGACGCCAUGUUGUGCUCCCUUUAAUCAGAUAUUUAUUACCAGCUCUUUUGAAAUGUGCUUGUCUGUGUUAUAGGAGGCGAUUUUAUUUUUCUAAUAACUUUGGUAAAUAUUUUAUGCUAUCGGUCUUAUUCAGAAUGAUAAAUUCACUGACUUCAGUUUUGCUUCUUCUUUUUUUUUCAAUGUGUACUGAUAAUAGCAUCUGUUAAAUGUGUGUAUUUCAUGUUGGUGUAAUAUUAUUCGUAAUGCACUGUCUACUGUUCCCUUGCAGCCGAUCAAUGAUUUGGAUUUCCAUCCGCAAAAUACUAUAUUGAUAUCUGGGGCAAAGGACCACACAAUUAAGUAUGUUUACAAGGAGAAAUUUACUAAUAGAAGUUAAUGCAGAUCUCAAGUUAAUUGUUUUGCGUUUUCUGUAAAAAUUUUUCCAAGAGGCUACAUUUCUUGAAUCUUGCUGUUAUUCAAUUAUAUGUAGAUGGAGAACUUGUUUCACACAUUAUUGGACAUUAAACAACUUUUCCAUCCAUUUAAACAAGUUUUCCAUCUGGAAACUCUUUUCGGGGUACUUGUACAUGCAAACCAAACAUAACCUAUAUGUAUCUGAAAUUAACUUUUCAGGUUCUUUGAUUUUUCGAAAACGGUUGCUAGGAGAGCUUUUAGAGUUAUCCAGGUUCUUAUGAUCACUUUAUCUUCAAUAUGCAGUUCGGUAGGAUCAAUCUAUUGGUUAUAAUAGCUUAUUUAUUAUUUUGUAUAAAUUUUUGGAACAGGAUACGCAUAAUGUGAGAUCUGUUUGUUUUCAUCCUUCUGGGGAAUAUCUCUUGGCCGGUAUCUUUCUAUCGUCUUGUUUUUGUUAAAUUUACAAGCCUUGUACUAUGUUCUCUGGACCUGCGUCAAGUUGUGAAAAUUGAAAUCAGAUGCCUUUCUUUUAAUUUCCGUUAUAUGUUUACCUGCAAUUCUUAGUAGUUCCUAGUUUACACUACAGUGAAAUGACUGGGAUAGCCAAUUUACAGGGACUGAUCAUCCUAUUCCGCAUUUAUAUGAUAUCAAUACUUUCAAGUGUUACUUGUCAGCAAAUGCCCAAGACCUAAAUGCGAAUGCUGGCAUCAACCAGGCAUGUUGGUUUCUUUCUAUUAUGCAUCCAUCUUGAUUGAAAAAAAAAGUUCACUUUUAGGAAAUUAUUAUCCUACAUUUUGGGAAUUUUCGGUGUAGGUGCGAUAUUCAACUACCGGCAGUACUUAUGUUACAGCUUCGAAAGAUGGUUCUAUUCGUGUAUGGGAUGGAGUAACUGCACAAUGUGUUCGGUCUAUAAUUGGGGCACAUGGGUUGGCUGAGGCCACUAGUGCAAGUUUCACAAAGGACCAGAGGUAUGGUAUGUUAUGUAUGCUCUAAAUAUUUUAUUUUAUUUUUCUUGUUGUACAUUUCUUCCUGAGAAACUUUGUUAUUCUUGUGUUAUAAUGAAGCUGAUACCUAGUUAAUUACAUGGUCCAAGAUACAACAGAUUGUCGCUUUUAUUAUUUGUGUUCCUUUUCCCUUAUUAUGACAUGCACAGCUUCAAUCUAUUAGGUUUAUUCUAUCUUGCGGGAAGGAUUCUUCUAUAAAGUUAUGGGAAGUUGGCACAGGAAGACUGGUCAAACAAUAUCUGGGUGCAAUCCACACGCACUUGCGUUGCCAGGUUGGUUGAUUCUCUUCCUUCCACUUAAAAGCAUCACAGCCUUACUAAUGUCUAAAAUGCGAUCUUUUAUCAACUUCUCAUACUUGUUUCAAUAUAUAUGGAUGCUUAAACUAGCAUUUGGAAAAACAUCAAUUCAGUUAAUGCGACCUGUAGGAAAUUCUAUAUUACUCAUAAGAAAUCAAAACCUGAAAUAUCUCUAAAAAUUUAAUGUGAAAGGAAGGAAGAAAAUGUUUCUUGCUCGUGUAUAUUGCAAACUCGCAGUUCCACUAGUGAUGUGAGGAACCCUCAAUUGUUAAAGUCACUUCAGUAGAGCAGAUGAUUCUGUUCUUGAUUACUUCUCCAAUUUGCAGCUGAUUGGUUAGUCAUGUAACAUCUUAUGUGCUACCUAAUGGAUGGUUUUGUAGGCUGUCUUCAAUGAAACAGAGGAAUUCAUUCUAUCAGUCGACGAACCGAAAAAUGAGGUUAGUUCUCUCUGCUUCACAGAUCUUGAUAAUACUUAUUGGAUGAUAAAUACUACUAAAAUGAGAUUGGUUACAGGUUGUUAUUUGGGAUGCUCUCACCGCUGAAAUUACAGAAAGGUUGCCGUCCAAUCACAUCGGUGCGCCAAGGUGGAUAGAACACUCUCCAGCUGAGGCAGCAUUUGUCACAUGUGGGAACGAUAGAUCAGUUAGAUUCUGGAAAGAGACUCUAUAGGCGGGUGCGAACUGCGAAGUAACCAAUAUACUGAAAUGCUCCAGUGCGUACUCAGGAUAACAUUAUGAUCCAUAGAUAUACAUCUGAUCCACUCUUGUUUUUCAUGUUUGUGGAAAAAGGAGAGGGUAGGUCUCAAAUAGAGUGUCAACUUAGUUUUUCUUUCUUGAUUAACUCCCUGCAGUUUUCUCGUAUUGCAGUUGCUCAUGUUUUAGAUUUCUUUAAUGGCAAUAUGAGUAAUCCUGUUGUGCUAACCAUGCUAUUCUUUGAUUCUGGUUGUUCUGUUUAAAUGCAAUUGACUCAAUUACUAGACUGUCGGAUGUUCCAAAUUAGAUGUGCAAGCGAAGUCUUUGUUCCUUUUUUUCUCCUCCUUAGGAUGUGGCUGCCUGCACGUGUUCGGGUGGAGUUUGCUCUCAGGUUUCCUUUAGGUGCAGGUAGACCGGGAGAGUCGGGAUCAGAUGCAGCUAAGAGAAGCUGUGCAUUUUUCUCCUCUUCAUAUUUCCGAGACACUUGCUGUAAUGCACCUGUCGUGGGGUUCCUGUUUUGAUGCGUAACCCGGAAUAGCCUAUGGGUGUAAUCUCGGAUAGAAUAAAGGGCAAAAGUGAUCAUUCAAAUUAUCCCUUUCUUCCGUAAGUCGCAGCAUUAAAAAAAGAAAAAAGAAAAACAAAAAAAAAAAAGGUGAUACCAGAUCAUUCUACAUUAAAAUAAAGAAAGAAUCAUUUGUUCGAGCAAAUCACUGGAAUUGAGCUAUCAUACACUCUAUCCUAGAUUAAUCAGUCAUCCUCGUAGUCAAAACAGCAAUUCACCCAACCCCAACCACCUACAGAAAAUAGUACUGUUAUCCUUCAUUGGCGUGCUUAUUCCCCCAAGAAACAUUACAGCCAUUCCUACAUAAUCUAAAAACUAGAGCCAUUAUAAACACAACAAAAAGAUUAUACACGGACAAACCAGACAAUCUGGGGACAGAAAAAGGCAUCCCCGCAUAAUCCAAUCCUCAAUCCAAACAUGCUGCUCUUAGGUUCUUUGUCGCGACAUGCUCUACAAGCGCAAAAUAGUUCGUAGCGUAUCGCAGAGGUUUUGGAUAGUCUGCUGCUCCUGUGUUGCUUGCGGCUCUUGAAGAGGCAUAUCCUCAUAGCACCUGGGAAAAAGAGAAAAAAUGCAACUUAGAACGCUGUGAAUAAUAUUUUAGAUUAGAGCAUAGAACAUCAAGCAAAUAUGCAGCACGACUCUCACAUUUUAUGGUAAGCUAAAGCCUGAGCUAAGUUCAUUAGUGUUGGACUCGUAGUUAAUCUUUGGUGUACUCCGGGAGGUAAAGGCACCUACAGAUGAGUCAAGCAACAGACGAUAGAGCAAUCAAUAAAGGAAGAGAUACAUGAUGAAUUUUCUUUAAUUUGUGAUUUUUUUUUCAGAAAAAAGGGAAAGUCAGUAGGAACCUCAGUUUGUCCUUUCCGCCCUUUCUUUGUCUGUCCAUCACCACUGAACAGCUCCCUAACUGCUUCUAGGGCAGCAUUACUGCUUGACCCUGGUAGCUUAUCCCCGACUACAUUAUCUGAUACUAGAGCUAAAGGAGAAAUAUCAAUUGCUUUAAGAAACGGUAUUGGUACUGUAUUUCCAGCAGCAUAAAUUGACCAGAGCUUCAAUAACAAGAAAAAGGAUAGAGUUGAAUUAUUAGAUUCAAAAGAUCUACAGGAAAAUAAUACAAAAUACCAGACCAAGUUGUAGAAAAUGAGGAUUGGUGGAAGUACCUUAUCUUGAAUCGAAAAGGCCUUCCGGCUGAUGGUAGCACUGUUAGGUUUGCUCAUGUUACCACCGACGCUACCAACUGCAGGAUCAGUAGGUUGAUCUUGCUGUGCCAAAAUACCCUCUGAAUUCUUUUCCUCUUUGGGUAAUCCAGCUACAGAUGGCGAACCCAGGGUUUCUUGUAUAUCAGGACUCUGAUUUUUAUUCUUCUGUUUGCUGACAAUGGUACCAGUUGCAUUCUCCUCCCUGACAAAACAGUUUGUAACAAAAUGUUUCUUAACCGAUAUUUAGCAAAACAUUAUCUAAAAGAUGAUAAGAUGCUACACUCCAUGGUAGAAAAUUCAUUGGAAAAUAUUUUGAGAUACUCUAUGGAGAAUAAGUGUGAUGAUGGAUCCAACUUUAGUCCCAUGAUUUGCAAAGUUUAAACACUUCACAGAGCAGUAUACCUCUUCCCUAUUAGACCAGCUGCAGAAUUAACAGAAGUCUGGUCUCUUCACCCCUGCUACUAGAGCAACAGUUAUCAUGAUUGUGGUAAUGAUUGUUCAGAGUAACAAUUGCACAAUCCACUAAUAUUCAUGCGUCUUAUUUUGACUAAUUGACAUCCAUAUGACAUGAUUUUAGAUAGUCGUCAGACAAAUUGCAUAGAGUAUAAAGAUACACAGCCUUCAUAUGGUACUAACAGAAAGGGGAAAAAAAAAAUCAUAAUAAGUUGUUCUCCAGAAGAAAGAACAGGUUUGCACUUAAAUUCUUGGCAUACCAAAUGUUUGCAAUUUUCUCUCUUCUCGGAUCAUGUGUGAAAGAACUUAUACCACCAAGGCCUGGUAUAAAUUCUGCUGUCAACGAAACAGGUGAUUCACGGACUUCAUCGCCAUCGUGAUAUACUACAGUACCAAAGUCACCUGCAUUAGAGAAGUUUUGGUUAUCAAUAGUAUGUUAAGCAUGAUUUUGUAUGUCAUCUAUGCACAAUUAUUUAAAAUUAACAGAGACAUAAAUAAACUGUCUCAAUAUGUGCAAGAAGGCAUCAAGUAAUGAAACAAUGUUACUAUAGUUAUGCCUCUUAAAUCCUGCCAACCUCCAAGCCUCCAAAUUUUAAAAUAAAGUCUUACUAAACUAGUCAUCAUAAAGCAUGAGAUUUUACAGUCAAAUUUAUGAAAGUGAAGUUUGUGGUGUAGGGUGGCCAUUUAAUUGUACAGAACGUGUAGAAAAGUGUGGUGCAAGCGUGCACGAGAGCAUCUAGUGAAGCAUUUGCUCAAAUAGCAGUUAACAUUGUGCAGUAAGUUGAAAUGCUUGUUAUUAUUCUGGCUCACUAGUUCUUAACCAAGGGAGAGGAGGGUUCUGUACACCCAUUAAAUUUUGUGCCAAAGGAUUAAAGUAGCCAACCUAGAGAGAAGAGAUACACAGCUUAUAAAAUAAAUAAAUAAAAAAAAUGCAAAACCACAAUAAAAGCAGUAGUGCUUCGGAAAAUACAUAUAUUAGCAAUAACUCUACAAGCAAAUUGUUCUUCCUCAGGUACCAACUUACCACCAUCCUCAGGUGAUUCAUCAAUUUGAUGUUUCAGAGCAUCAGAAGGAAGAGUAUCCCCGUAAUCUUCGUUUAUAUGUGUAGUCCCCCCUUUCGCCACUUGCUAAUAUGGUGGAGUAAGAAUACAGAAAAUGAAAUCAGUAUAUAAUGUAGAUAAUAAUGGCAAAUAAGAAGAUCAUACAUUGUCUGGCCUGGAUUGGCUGUUUUGUGCUUGUGCAGCCAUUGCUGCUCUGAUUUGUCUUGCUUGUUUGAUUUUUGGCAACAUUUUUGAAGCGCCAGAUGUGCACUUUUCAAUAAACUUGUGCUGCAAUGGAAAUUGAAGCAAGGAAAUGAGUACUAACUACAUUAUUUGUAGCACAAUGAGAAUAAUUUUACUGAAAGAAACAAGCAUAUUCAAAAAACAACCCUGAAAAUUUCUUAGAAGGUAAGAAAGGCUUUAUAAGUUUGAUUUAAAAGGCAAUACAAUGCAAAGAUAAGAAUUCUUGUAUUUAAUCGUCACUGAAGGAGCAAUACGUACCUUCAGCAUCUCAGCUGCUGAAGGACGAAGCCUGGGAUCUUUUGUCAAGCAUUUGGCUAUAAAAUCAUGGAAAAGAAGGGACCUAGAACAACAAAUAGAGCAUAUAAUAGAACCGAAAGAAAUAAUUAUAACAAUAACAUAAUAUAACAGCUACAACAACCACAAUAUAGCAACUUAGCAACAACUGAACCUGUAUUUCCUAAUUUUGAGGAGAGAUGUUGGAUAAAAAUAUACAAAUACAGACUUCAUAUAGAUGCAUAAACAGAAGUAACAAAAUCAUACCACUUCUCUUUAUCCUCGAGCAUUGGAGCAGGCUCACGAGAUAUCAUAAAAAGAACCUAUCAGGAAAAGUUAGUAUCAGCCAAAAAACAAUUAAGAAGAGGCCAAUAUUUUAGAAUCUGACAAACAACACUAGCUGUAAGCAUGGUUAACCUACUCAACUGUGGAUUUACUCACUGUAUAAGAUUUACUGCAAAACAUAAAUGGGUAUAUCAUAAAUAAAUGAACUGCUACACGAAAUCAACGACUUUUUGAAAUUGACUGCAAGGUCAGGUAAAAGAUAAGACGAUAAAGAGAAUAAAAGAAAAUUAUGGCAUAGCAUGCAAAAGUUCAAAAGAAUCAUCAAGUGAUUUUAGCCAAAAAUGCAAAUAAGAGCAGAAGGUCGGAGAUAUGCGCAUACUCUCAUUGGAUGCACUGUAGACCUAGGUGGCAUUCCCUAAACAAAAUAGAAGGAAAAGAACAGAAUGUAAGAAAAAAUAACAGCCAACAUUGACAAUGAAAGGAUAAGGUGAAAAACACAAUAGGUGUAUAAACUUGAAGCAAGAAUUGGGAACAAAUGCACAACAAUUUCAUAUAUGUAAUAAGCACACCUCUGCCAUCUCAAUUGCGGAGACACCAAGAGCCCAUACGUCUACCUAGAAAAGAUUCAGAAAUCAAGCACCAGGACUGAUUUGGAAAGUACUUAAAUGCAUGUCAUUUGCUCAAAGGUUAGCCAAGAAAGAAAGUAUGUUUAAUACAUCAAGUAUUAAAAUUCACUGUGUUCUCUAUUUAGUUGCAUUGAACUUUAAAUGUGAGAAAAUAUAAUUGACUUGAUCAACCUGUAUAUGAUGUAAUGAAUUAUGCAGAUAAUUCAUGAAUACUUCUUCUAAACUCAAAUUCUUGAGGUAUCAAUUCCUAACAUAUAGAUUUGAUUCUUCAAAUAAUUUGAUUAAUUCCUGUUCUACAUUUCAACAACAAUGACAACAUUUUGAAGUGCUGUGUUAGCAUCACAAGAUAGUAUUCAUACAUGACAAGAUAAUUCUGUAGAUGAUAUACUACCUUUCCAUCAUACCGAUUUUCUUGUAUUACUUCAGGAGCCAUCCAAUGAGGAGUGCCAAUGAACUGAAAGUCAAGAAAUACCAUCAUAAUGCAAAUCAUCAUAACAGUUGAAGAUUAAUCUAUAUAAAGCGAAAUUGAAAGGCAUGAAAGAUGCUAGAGUCUGUUAGACUAACAACAGUUAAAGAUUAAUAUCUAUAAUAAAACAAACUGAAUGGUCUAAAUGAAUGGAGAUUACAACUAAAUAGCAUAUGAUCAUUCAUUAAAUGAGAACUCAUCAAUUAUCUGUGAAUAGACAGUACUGAGGGGUAAGAAUUAUGAAGUCAAAACACACUGAGGGUCACAAUUUCACUUCUUUCAAAUCAAAUCUGAAAGGAGCAUGAAGAAAUAGGAUAACUUUCGAGAUUUUUAGCACACUGAUGUUAGGGUAAUUAUCUGGUAGCACUUCAUGGAUCACAUGCUUCAAAUAUCCACAAUCUAGCAUGUUCUAAUAUGCAUAAAGGAAAAAAUAAAAAACUUUUUGUACUUGAUGGGAGAUUAUUAGCCAGGCUAGACAAGACAAUCUUACAGUGUUGCGCUUUGACAUGGUCCUGGUAAGCUGGGCAGCAACACCAAAAUCACCUGUUGAAAUGAUCAUAGCAGUCAGAGCUCAACUAAGAAAAACAAUCAAGAAACUCAGCAUAUUCAUAAAAAAGAAUGAGAAAAUCUACAAUGUCAAAGCGCAAUGAUAUGGAGGUACAAUUUCUACACAAUGAGACCAGUGCUCACCCAACUUUACCUCUCCCUGCUCAGUAAGCAGAAUAUUGCCACCUUUAAUGUCUCUAUGGACUUUAAAAAUCGAGUGCAAGUAAGAAAGACCCUACAUCAGCAAAAUUUUCCAAGUCAAUUUUGAAGGCAAAACAUACAUGAAUAAACAUACAAGCAAUAUUUGAUUGCAAGACUUUUGCACCACUUAUCAAGUAAGAAGUACAUGUAAUGCAUGCUUAACAUGAAAAAACAGAUAACUGUACGUUCGCAUCUAAAAAAUUUUGUUAAAUAUGAAACCUAAUCCCCAUUAAACCCUAGGCCACGGCAAGGUUCUUCAUCAAUAUAAAAGCUAUCAAAACUAGCCUCAUUUCUUCAAUCAAGUCAUUUCUGGUUUCUCUCUUUUCCUCUUAAGGAAUCUCCAACAUGGAAUAGAUGAGUUGCACCACUCUUCAGACUGGUAUCUGAGUUCAGUGAAUACCGACUCUAACUAGUGAUGGAUGCGCACAUUUCUUAUCCUAUCAUUUCUACUAAAAAAACAUUGGUACAUCGAUUUCAUGCAGCAUUGGCCCACACUUCCAAUGCCAACUCAGCGUCAUGAAUCUGAAUAUGAAAUUCACUGGAAUGAGGAUGACCUUUGGGAGAGGGAAAAAAAAACUAACUUCAAUCCUGUUCUUUUGAAAAACAAUUACCAAGGUUCGAAUGAUGGGUAACAAAUAAUAGGUACAUCUAAGGACAAUUCAUGCAUUUUCCUUGAUGAAACUUGAUUGUGAGCUACUGGUGGGAAACAUUCACUCUCCUCACGUUGCAAUUUUAAUAUUUAAAACAAGUCACUCCAGCACAUAUCAGUGCAAACACGACAACAAUUGGUUAAAUAUAUACCAAUUUCUCUAACUGAACAUGCAAAGUUGUAUAACAAUUUUUACUUCCAUAUAUAAUUACUUACAAAAAUCAAGUACCUUCAAUGCUUCCCUACAGAUGUAAGCUAUUUGAGACUCAUCUAACGGUUCUUCAGUAGUAUUCAUCAAGUCAGCAACACUUCCACCACCACAGUACUCCAUCACUAUCUGCAAAAUGAAGUUUCACAACAGUAUACUGAGGACUAAAUAGAUCUUCCAUAUUCAAGUAAGAUCAUACCAAAUUGUACCAGGUCAUUUGUUCAUACCCACAAGUACUCCUCUCCUUGAUAGCUUCCAAAGUAGCGAACAACAUUCGGGUGGCUACACUGCUGCAGCAUUUCAAUUUCUCCUCGAAUGUCAUCAUAGCCCUCCUCCUGAUAUUGGUGUUUACAAAUUUAAAUAGGCAGCAGUCAGAAAUUAAGAAAAACAAGUGAUCUCCAACAAGUGAUUGGAAAGAUACCAGCUCAGGCCUCAUUUGGCAUUGUUGCCACUUUUUUUUUACUUUUUAAAAAACUAAUAAUAUAUAAUUUGAUAUACUGAUGAGAAGACUUUCUUUUGUUGUCAUAAUUAAUUAGCUUGUAAUACACUAGAACCAAGAAAUGUAUCACUUUUUGUUUGGACAAAAACUUGGAAGCAAAAAAAAAAAAAAUGCUUUCAACUUUUUAUUAUUUGUUGCCAAACAAUUACAUUGGAUGUAAGGAUUGGAAGCAAUCCACACCUCUUUUUACACUAUUUCAUGUAGAAAUUCUAUUUUAAAAAGGAAAAGAAAAAAGACAACAAUGCCAAAGGAGGCCUUAGCAUAUCACUAACCAAAACAAAAGAGAAUCAAUCAAAAGAUGGAUGCACUAUUAAACAAGCAUGUUCACAGAGGAAUUUAAAGAACUAAUAAAACAUAUAAUUUUUCCAAUUUGUGUUUUACUCCUAAAUGGGGGAAGAAGUAAUAUACCCCUUCAGUUAAAGAUAUAACUUUGACAGCAACAAGUUCUGAAGUCCUUAGGUCUCUGGCUUUAUAAACAGCACCAUAUGAACCUUUCCCUGCAGUUCACCAAACAUGAGUUCGAUUAGAAAGAUACAUGCACACACAAUAGUCUAUAUAAGUGAACUACUACUGCAGAAACUAUAUGGUAAUUGAAUGCACUUGAUCAGCAACUAGGGAUCUCAACAAAUUCAUUCACUACUCUAUUUAGAGUAACGAACGCAACCAGAGAGAACAGAACACUAACCGAGCUCAUGGAGCAGUUCAUACUUUGUGGAAGGGUCUUCCUUCGCGACACUUUCCGGGACCGAGCUAACCGACGCCUUCCUCCUUGGAUGCUGCUGAUGCUUCCCUUCCUCCGACUCCGCCGUCCUCAACCCCUCAAAUGCCCCGCUCAUGAACGGCGACCCGAAACCCCCUCCUCCUCCGCCUCCUCCGCUGCUGCCGCCGCCGCCACCGGUGCGUCUUAUCACAGUCCCCGAGAUAGACUCCCUGGGGCUCGACUCGCUCGACCGGGCCGUGGACCGGAUCAGAAACGUAGAAUACGCAUCGUCCGCCUCGGAUCGGCCUCUAGGGCUUGCGCGCCUCAGAUCCGAGAAUGGAGCUCGGCUCGGCCUUCUACCGGAGGGCGACGCCGAAGGCCUUUGUCCUAGCCCUCCUCCGGCGCCGCGCUUGACGACGACUGUUCCGGAAAACCCUAGCACCUCGUCGUCGUCCUCCUCAUCUUCGUCCUCGUCGUCGAAUGCGACGCCGCCGAAGUCCUUGGGAACGCGCUGGAGGAGGGGAGGGAGGGACGAGGCGUCCUCCUCCUCGUCCUCGUCGUCGAGCUUGGUGUCGGAUCCGUCGUCGUCGCCAUGGAUGACUACGGUGGAGUAGAUAUCGGACUUCUUAGGGCGGUGGCCGCGCGAGGACGACGAAGAGCGAGGAGAGAAAUCCAUGGCAGAAAAGAAACGAGAAAGGAGCAAGGAAAGAGGGAGGGGAGUCGGGCUGAGGGGAGAGUGGGUUUUGUUUUAUUGGCGCGAGUCAAACUUAGGAGUUGGACUCAGCACAAACCCAGCGGGCCAGGCUCAAAUAGGAGCCCAUAGGGGUUACCCCGAGUCUCAGGCUCAAUUGCAGCCCUAAUGGAUAUUUUCGCGGUCCCAAAAAGCAUUAUUAAACCAAAAUAUGCGCCCAUACGGAAACCGGAAACUAUAGUGCUCGUCAACAAACAUACAAUAUACGUGCUAGAGCAAGUGGCAAAAAAAUUUGAUGAUUGGUACUCGAAAUUCAAAUUCGAAUUUUAGUUGAUUUAUAUUUCCAGCUAAACUUAUUUCUAAAUGAAAUAAACGAAGUGGGUAGCGCCCGUGCUACCUAUCUCUCUUUCUCAAAAAAAAAAACAAACUUAUCUACAUAAUAUAUUUGGUUAGAGAAAAAGAAAAGAAAAAACCUGGUCCUCAUUUUUGUUGUAUGUCCCAUCUAUGUACCUACUAUUAGCACUAGCAAUUAGCUCCCAAUUCCGACCGUCCCUAACGCAAGCUAGUGGCAAAGGAUUUGAUAAUUGUUAUCCGAUAUCCCAAGUUCGAAUGCUAGUCGAUUCACAUUUUUAAUAAAAUUUAUUUUUUUAAAAAAAUAAACUAGACCGGUAGCACAUAUUCUACCUAUCUCUCUCUCUCUCUAAAAAAAAAAAAAACAAUUAGCUCCGAAUGACUUUAGCUUUGAUGGACUCAUGACUCAUCGCGCCAGAACGCAAUGAGGAUACUCACACAUUGUUUAGUGCUUACUUGUAUAUAUCAUAACAAAAGCAGAACUCGUAGCCUGCAUAUACUGUGACUGACUGCUGUUUCACAACCGAAUCAUCCGCAUAUUGCUGCACCUCAUCUCCAUCCGUAGUUUAUUCUGUAUCUUAUUCUUUAAUCUCUGCCGCCGGUAAGCUGAGAUCCUUCCUCUAUCCAGAAAAAUUGACUACCGGAAUGGAACUUCGCAGGCACGAAAUGAGAUGGCCAUGCAAAUCAUAGACUUAGGCCCUUUUAUGUAAUCUUUUAAUUCUAAUCAUAGACUUAUUUAUUUUUUUGAGAAAUAUUAUAGACUUAUUUAUAUAAAUCCAAUUAUUUGUUUUUUUUUUUUUUAUUAACAAGCAGCCAUGCAAACUGAAUUUAAUUUCUUUCACCAACACUAUCAAUUAUAACAUGGCAAGAAGCUGGAGUAAUUAUAUCAUUCACCGUGUUCAGAAAAAAAUUUAAAAUAAACUUUACACAUAAAUAUAUAAGCUCCAAUUAGUGUCUGUUGGAAGUGAUGUCACUGAUAACGCUGGGAGAUAGCAUAGUAUCUACACUAGUAACUCAUGGUAUAUAUUGAUUAAUAUACUAUCAACAUAACUAAUUAUACAUAAGCUGCAAGUUAACUGGGAAAAUAUGUUACUUAGAAUCUAAGAAAUAGUUUCUGCAAAUGUCAAUGAAUGUUGUCCUAUAUAUUAAAUGAUUAAUUAGCAUCUAUAACAUGGACGUACUUUUACUUGAAAACCAUUUAUUCUAUCGAAGAUCAUGAGUUCACAUUUCACAACAUGCACUAUGCUUUUGAUAAUAUAUUUGAAUUCACUUUCCCCUGGACACUCAUUCCCUCAGGUAACAUCUGGUUGAGAACUUUUAUUACAUAAUUUGGCGUAACUCUCAAGUCCUUUUUUUUUUUAAUUCAAAUAAUGAUCUCACUGUAGAGGAUCUAAAUUAAAAAUAUUAUUUUGAUAUCAAACUAAACACUGGUUUUCUAACUAGGAAUAAGUUGCGUGCGAUUUGCAAUUGAUAAAUUCUUGUGGAAACUUCCAAGAAGGCCUCAAUCCUGUUGACAAUAAUAACAUUUCAUAGACAACAACAUAUAAGAGAGGGAUCCUCCGCCACCCCCCUCCCCCCCCAAAAAAGAAAAAAAAGAAAAAGAAAAAGAAAAAAGAGGGAGGCUUUAUUAGGAAUAUAAACCUCAUUAUACGGAAUUUUUUUUUCUUUCUUUUUUAUUUAUAAGCAGCAUCGAUCAUGAGCUAGCUGUAAAUUGUUAUUUUGGGUUGAAUUUAUUAUUAUUUUUUAAAUAACCUCAUGCUCCUUUCUUUGGAAUAAAUAUCAGUCCAUUUGAUCAAUUCUAAGAAGAUGCUCAAAUGUUAACCAUUUUUUGAUUCACUGUAGGGAUCAAAUAUUGGUAUUUUUAAUUAUUAACUCCAUUGUGAAUUUAACAUUGGUCGCAGUGUAAUUUGAUUUAUCGAACCCAUGAGCAACCCCAACAGCCAAUUACCCUUAGCCCAUUUAUUUUGCAUAUCGUCACAGCAAUCCGAGCAACCACAAAACUAAUAGACGGAGAGUUUAAUUACUUUGCUGCAGUAUUUUUACUGAGCUGUUCAAAAAUUGAUGCAGGUACAUUUUCCUGUGAAACUAGAAAGAUUUACAAUAUACAUAUAUCUUAAUGAAACAGUAAUUAACCAAUUCAUUCCCGGGUACGGAGAAGCCAUCAAGCAGCUUAGACGACACAAACUAAAAAUAUGUAUAUAAUUAUAAAAAGCAAGCCUUAAUAAAAGUUGAAGAUCAAGUCCCAAAAAAAAAAAAAAAAAAUCCAGAUCACAUUCGUACGUUUUUUGACCUUUUAUUUUCCCCUCCCCUUGCUAGUUGCUACGAGUACACUAGUAGUACUCUCCCCAGCUAUAAAAUUGUGAACGCGGGAUGGUUGAUUGCGUGGCUCAAAAGGUACUGCUUGUCCUUUUCACGGCUCAAAAGGUGUCCGCCCCCUCGAAUUUCUCUCUGUGUGUUCUCUCACGCAGCCUGAAAAGAUUCUCUCUGUGCUCCGUGACAACUCAUCACCUCCUCCCCUCUGUGUAUUGAGAUUCCACCAUCCCCAGUUGCCCCCUCCCCUCCCAUCUCCGAGAGAGAGAGAUAAAGAGAGAAAGAGUUUUUUUUUUAAAAAACAAAUUUUAUUUGUGUUGAAAAGUGAAAUAGAAAGAUAUAUAUAUAUAUCGCCAUACGAAUGCCCACAUGGAUACAACUAUUCGUGUACACGCCCAUUCGCACUCCCUCUUCGAUUUCGUUGCAGUGGUGCAUGGUUUCGGUUUGAUUUUCUUUUUCUUUUUCUUUUUCUUUUCUUUUUUUUUUAAAAAAAAAUCCUUUCGGAGUUCGCAUUGUUUUUUUUGUUGGAAUUAAGAACGGAUUGUUAGAANAUGCCCACAUGGAUACAACUAUUCGUGUACACGCCCAUUCGCACUCCCUCUUCGAUUUCGUUGCAGUGGUGCAUGGUUUCGGUUUGAUUUUCUUUUUCUUUUUCUUUUUCUUUUCUUUUUUUUUUAAAAAAAAAUCCUUUCGGAGUUCGCAUUGUUUUUUUUGUUGGAAUUAAGAACGGAUUGUUAGAAACCGAUCGAACACUUCGAUCAUCCGGCGGAUCAUUCACUUUGUACUUGGAAGUCGUGUUUUUACAAGUACAACAAAAUUUAUACUCAUAAGAAUAAGGUAGCCUUAGUCUCUCUCUCUCUCUAUAUAUAUAUAUAUCAAUCAGAUUAUGCAAAAGCUCUAAUUUUUGGGCUUCCAAUUCUGCUGCAAUACCCAAAUAGGGUAUACCCCUGUUUACUCAAAAAAAAAAAAAUUCUGCUGCAAGAAGUAGCCGUUGGGAUAUAUGAAUAUAGUGUUUCUCCAAAUAAUUUCUCUAAUCUCUUUUUUCACUCUCGCGUAUGGAGUGCCCUGUUGUCUAUAUUACUUCCACCGUUUUGCUUCAUAUGUUUACCAGUUUGUAUUUUAGGAAUCAUCAAGCCGUGCACCCUCCUCUGAUCUCGAAGAAGGCAAUGAUGUUCAGGUGCCUUGAUUCUGUUCUGUAUUUCUUCGCACUCUGUUCUCUAUAUUUAUCCAGUUAGCAACUGUUUGAUUAAGUUCCCGCUGACAUUCUUCACCGUGAAACUCAGCCACCAAAUAUCAGAUUUUGGAGAGUUCUAUCGCUGGUGCGUCGCCAGCCCCUUUGCUGUUCAUUUUGAAACUUUGAUCAUGUCCACAUCUACGUAGAUGCAUCCAUGUGCAUACGCUAUCGCCUAUUUAUCGACUUUGAGUCUUUACUUGCAGGCAAAACCUUAUGCCGGGAGGCUGGUCGUCGCCACCGUAGCAUUACUGAUAGCUUCUCUAAGCAACACUUUAAUUGUAGGUAUUCCUUCCGCUGAUCUUUCGUGUACUUUUAUUUUGGUUGAUUUUCUUCUACUUCUCGAAGUAACAGUAUCUCUAUAUUUUUCUGUUAAACUGCAGCGUAAGUAUGGUGGCAAGACAAUAGACAUUGUGUCAAGAGAUCUCCGAGAACCCAAAGAGCAGGAUGAAGCUUUAGAUGCUGUGAAAAACACCAUAUUAGAGAUCGUGCUGAUAGUUAUUGUUGGGUAUUUGUUACAGAUACAUUGUUUUUCAUACUGCACAUAUUUUUUGUUGUUUUGUGGCUUAUCAUCUAUAUUUUGUUGUCUUUUCUGUGUUGAUUCUGCUCAAUGUUGCAUUUUUUCUAAAUAAGAAUUUGUAUAGAAGCUAUAGUGUGGUGCUCUGACAAAUUCCAGUACUAAUUUGAUUUAUCGUUUCUUCAGAUCAAUUUGCACUGCACUGCGGUCUUGGCUAUUCAAUUCUGCCAGCGAAAGAGUAGUUGCUCGACUGAGAAAGGACUUGUUUAGCCAUCUUAUUAAUCAGGUAAGGCUCGUGAUUUUUCAAUCAUGGUCUGAAGUUUACUAAAUCUACCCACUGAAUCACAAAAACUUUGGAUCUAUUUGUUAGGAAAUAGCAUUUUUUGAUGUGAAUAUGACUGGAGAGCUCCUAAGUAGACUUUCUGUAGAUACACAAGUAAUAAAGAAUGCUGCAACCACCAACCUCUCGGAAGCCUUGCGGAACAUUGCUACUGUGUCGAUUGGCCUUGGUUUUAUGUUUGCAACAUCAUGGAAAUUAACAUGUGAGUGCUAAUGACAUGGUUAAAAUUCAUUCCUUUGUAGAGGAAAUUGAUCUUUCAUUAUGUGACCAGGAUACUGCUGAAACCUUAAUUUCAUGAAGAAACUGCUGAAAUUUUCAAUUUUAUCUGCAAAAUUUUAAUAAUUUCUCCUUCAACAGUGUUGGUACUUCUUGUUGUACCUGCUAUAGCAGUUGGUGUGCGUAUGUUUGGGCGCUAUCUCCGUGAACUCUCACAUCAGACUCAAGCUGCAGCAGCUGUAGCGGCAUCAAUAGCUGAGGUUUUCUUUUAUAAAUGAGCAGUAGUUCCUUUUAAAUGUGCACUAUGUAGGUUCUACAUUCCAGACAGCCUCAGUUUCUAGCAUUUUUUUUCGACCAUAUCUCCACAUUACACUGAGUUGAGAUUAUAUAUUUGGUAGUUGCAAAAUCUUUGGUUACAGAUUGAGAACUUCUCCGAUAUAUGUACUUCAGAUCCCACUUUCGAUUUUUAUAUGCGAUUACCAUCGUAACUAUAUGUACCUUCCCUUUCGGCGUCUCUUAACACACUAAACCACAAUUGUAUAUUGAAUACUCAUGCAGGAAUCGUUUGGAGCCAUACGCACGGUUAGGUCCUUUGCGCAAGAGGAACAUCAAAACUCAUGCUACUCCGAGAAAGUUGAUGACACAUUGAAACUUGGGCUUAAGCAAGCUGUGGGCCUUGCCUGCUAAAGUGUUCUCUUAUGGAUGUCAUACUAUGUUAAAGUUUUCAUUCUCAAUUUACUCUUCCUGUGCAGAAAAUUGUUGGUCUCUACUCUGGAGGUAUGGAUGCAGCAUUUACAUUGCCAGUGGUCUGUGUGGUGAUAUAUGGAGCUUAUUUAGCCAUUAAAGGCUGUAUGACAACUGGUGCUCUUACGUCCUUCAUCCUUUACAGCCUUCAAGGUAUUGCUUUGAAUGCCUUAUCUCUACCACUGCAUCACAAUUCAAAAUCUGAGAAUCUAUUGAAAUCAGGAUCAAAGUUUGGGACUAAUUCACUUUUAACCCUUCUUCAUACGAGGAUCCAGCAUGUGAUUGUUGCUCUUCAUUUUUGGCGUCUAUAAAAAUGUCCAUAAAUGAAACCUCAAUGGUCACAUUUAGUUUAUCUUGAUAAAUCCUUUACUACUAUUUUUGAGGAAUGAUUCUUGUAUCUGCCAAUCAUAUACUGCAGUUGCUUCCUCAAUAUCUUCCUUAUUUGGAUUGUACACGACAAUCAUGAAGGCUUCAGGGGCAAGCAGGAGAGUUUUUCAAUUUCUAGAUCGUGUUUCCUCUAUGCCAAAAUCCGGAGAUAAAUGUCCAUCUAUGUGGGUUACCCGUUGUUCACUUAUAUUCUCGGUGGGUCCAGCAUCUUUUAAGCAGUCUAAUAGCUGAUAAACAUUCUCAUCGUUUAUUGUGUUGGCUUGUGCUGGUAGUGGCCAUAACGGAGAAGUUGAGCUGGACGACGUGUGGUUUGCGUAUCCUUCUCGCCCAGCUCAUAUGGUUCUUGAGGUAACUGUCGUUAAUAAUGUCCUAAUGCGUAAUGGAAGUCUCUAUUUACUUCAUCUUUUUUUCUUUUAAAUGGUACAAUGUUCAAAUUAAGAUGUGUUAUUUACUUAUUUUCUUAACUACGUGAAUAUCUUUUACUGGUCACAUGUCUGGGGCUCUGAGGUUGUCUUCUUUGUAUUCUUUUUUCUUUUCAAUAGAAGAAAAAAAAAAAUCUUUUUGCUCUCAAUCCAAAUAUUCCAAGAGACUAUAUCUGCUUUCAAUUUUGACUCUCUAUUAGUGAAGUUACAGUGAAUAUCUGAACACUGCCAGUAUCUCUAACAAGAUGCCAUUAUAUUGCAGGGUAUUACAUUAAAGUUGAGUCCGGGUUCGAAGGUUGCACUUGUUGGGCCAAGUGGUGGCGGAAAAGUAAUUUGUUACUUGUCAAAACACAGCUAUCGAUUCUUCCCCUCAUUAGUCAGAAAAGAUUGUUUUUGGUCUAUUCCAGUUCUAAGUUUUACAUUAUUAAUAUACAUGCUCUCUGCAGACUACCAUUGCCCAUUUGAUUGAACGGUUUUAUGACCCGGUAAAGGGGAAGAUCUUGCUAAAUGGAGUAUCAUUGGUUGAAAUAUCACAUCAAUAUCUCCACAGACAGGUAUCAUCGCCUUACGUCCUGAAAUUUAGAUGCUUCAGAACGAACUUUUAUCAGUUUUAUCACACAAUUAAUCGUGAUCUUGAUAUAAGAGCUAUAUCUUGUUCAAGUUAUUUCAUAGGUUUUAUGCACAGAAUAUGCAGUACACUUUAAAAUAUCGGAAAAUUAAAUCUAAAUGAUGGCUUCACUAGUGUUAGACAUUGGUCAUGAGUUUAUUAUGGGAAGAUUUGUUUAAAGUUCCCUCCAGGGGUGUUGAUAUGGCUUUUUGUGAUGUCUCGCACUGUUGGUCAUGCUAUUUCAGGUCAGCAUAGUAAGCCAAGAACCUGUCCUGUUUAACUGCUCCAUUGAAGAGAAUAUUGCUUAUGGACUAAAUGGCAAGGCCGGUGCUGCUGAAAUUGAGAACGUUGCUGUAAGUAUUGGCAUGCUGAUAGAAGCAACCUUAGAUGAAGAUAUAAUAUCUAAUUAUGGAUAUUUGAUGCAGAAAAUGGCAAAUGCACAUGAAUUUGUAUCUAAAUUCCCUGACAAAUAUAAAACCGUCGUUGGAGAGCGAGGGAUAAGACUUUCCGGUGGACAGAAACAACGCAUAGCUAUCGCAAGAGCUUUAUUGAUGAAUCCAUGUGUUCUUCUUUUGGACGAGGCUACGAGUGCCUUGGAUGCUGAAAGCGAGUAUCUGGUCCAGGUAUAAUUUAUCAUUUGCCUUUUCAUUUUGUUUUGCCAGGAAGUUAAGUGCUUCUUUGGCAUUGUUUACAGAUUUUUUUUCUUUUGUUUUUCCUAAAGUUCUAUAUUCUCAAAAGCUCUUAAAGGUAAUCUUAAAAUCUGGUUAUUGUUAGGUUGUUUGUAAGGCCCAUUAAUGGAAAAAUUAACGCUUCAAUUUCUUAACAGAAACGAUUGAGUUUACAAAUAGCCAGAAAAAAACAAAAGAAAAAUUCAUUCCUUAUCGCCUUUAAUAGCAUAGAACUUGAAUAUACCCAAGAAAAAAAAAAAAGGAGCAGAACAUAAACAAUGCUAAACAUACGCUAAAAAAUCAUAGAGUCUAUUCUUCUUUGAUCUUGUUCAAGCAAAUCACUUAUAAUGUACUUUCGUGGAGAUCACUUACUUGCUCCGAGAUCACUUACUUGCUCCUUCAAAGCUAAAGCAACCAUUUAAUACUUCUGCAGGAUGCGAUGGAAUCUCUAAUGAAAGGAAGGACAGUUCUCGUGAUAGCGCACAGGCUUUCGACCGUGAAGAGUGCGGAUAGUGUAGAAGUUGUCUCCGAUGGCCAGAUAGUAGAGAGGGGCACCCAUGACGAACUACUCAGCCGAAAUGGCAUCUAUACGGCUCUCGUAAAGAGACAACUGCAAGGACCCCGAGUUGAAGCCGAUGAGCUACGUAGUAGUUGAUUACUGGCAAAGCCACCGCGAUUAUUUCUUUUUGUAUCCAUCAAUCAGUUACUGUCACUGAGAAUUCGCUUGUUGUGUGAGAAUUUUUCUGUAAGGGUGCACAUUAAUUGCUAGCAGGUUGGAAGGGAGUGAGAUAUUCUAAAGGCAGAAUUCGAGUUGUACUUUAUUGAUGGUGGUUUUUGUCCAUGCUAGAGUCUCUUUUGAGCUAGUGAAUGCUACGGCCAAUUUUUAAUACUUUCAAAGCACGGGGCAUCAUAAUUGAUGAUCGACAUUGUUAAACAUGAUUUACGAUAUCUGAACUUUUCUGCCUGUGGACCAAAUUUCAUAACCUUCCUACCUAUAUGGCCCUGUCGGGCUUUGUCUCAGAAAUUUUCAUGCUAUUAAAUUUUUUUUAAUGGUGAGACAUUCAAAUUGAUGAUUAACUUUAUUAAAUAUGAUCUACGUUAUUGGUGGUAAAGAGGCCACUUUUAUAAUAGUUAAUUCUAAGUGUUAAGAAGAGUUUUGGACUGAUCCAAAGAAUAUUGGUGAUGUUGCAACGACAAACAUGUACUCCAAAUGCUCCGUGCACUCGAGGAGGUGGCAUCCAACACGCGCAAUAUUCUCUUCCCCAACCAAAUACUCAGGCAAUUAGAUAUUCCGAUCAAUACUGUUCAUAUAUCCAAAAUUAAAUAUAAAUAAAUCUCACACAUUAAUUAUUCUGUGCGUGGGGAUCUUCAAUAGUCACGGUCAAAAAAUCUCGUCCGUAACAAGCGUGAGGGAUACAAUACUUACACUCAAUUAAAAAAUAUGUAAAUAAUAUGUGGCAUAUUGUUAUACCCCUUCUUAAAUUUUUUAAUUAAUUUUUAACUCUGGCAAAUCAAAUAAUUUUUAUUUUCAAUAAUUAACAUCUGUCGCUGAUAAAGUUAUUAAAUUUAGCAGGAUUUCUUAUUUUCAAAUUUAAAAAUUUUUAAAGACUCAUUAAAAAAUAAUUUUUUUUUAGAAAUAGUCAGAUAAGUAGCAUACUAUCCGCUUCAUUUAUUUCAUUUAGAAAUAAACUUAGCUGAAAAUGUGAAUCAACUGAAAUUCGAACUUGAAUUUCGGAUACCAGAUACGAACUAUCAAGUCCUUUACAAUUUGUUCUAGGGAUGGUGGGUUAUUAAAAAAUAAUGUUGAAGGAUCCAUUUCAACAUAAGCAAUAGGUUAGGCGGUCUGUAUCAAUUUUCACCGCCAUCCGUAAUAACUCCAACCACUCCUCCACACUCUCCCUAGCCGCCCAGUUUUUUGUCGCAUUUUAUCCAAUCUCUGUUGUUGGGUAAGUAAAGGAGAGAAAGAGAGAGAGAGAGAAGGAGUUGACAUCGAAAUGGGGAGAAAUAUGAGGAUCACAACAGCCACCACAAGCAAUCGGGCCCCUCUACUGCUCAACAAUCAUGAGGUAUGUAUUUGUACAUGUAUAUUCCCAUGCUCUCAUUUAUUAUGUUAAAAUUUGUGCCUAAUAAGACUUAUUCUUGGACCAUGUUUAAUUCACGUGCGCACUUAUAUUCUUUCUUCAAAUGAGCACAAAAAUCAUUAUAUCUGAUAAAAGGUUUUUGAGGGAUUUACUGAAAUCAAAAGGAACAAAAGAUUUAAAAUCCAUGUUCUUUUUUUGGUUUGAUUAAGGAUUGUGCUAUGAGAUGCAUGCAAUAUGGUUAACUAUUAUAGCGGAAGUAUCUGGGACACUCUCGUAUUGCUUUAGUUUAAAGUCGACAACAGGGUUAGAACGAAACUUUGGUAUUUAUUAGCUCGCUUAUAAAUUCUACCCCGUCGAAGAGAGAGUCUGUGUAUUUGUUUUCCUGUGUGAUUUUAUCCUAUUGUGUCAUUUUCGUUUUUCCUUCCUACCUGUGUACUGCCACUCCUUUGCGGCAUCAGCCUCUAGGGACACUUUUUGCUCUCUACUCCCUUCGGCAUACCGCCCCUUCGUCGAUGUUUCUCCUCUAAAAUAGGGUAUAUCCCUGUUUAAUCAAAAAAGAAAAAGAAAAAGAGAGUCUGUGUAUUUGUAGCUGUAGCUAAUAGCAGUUGCAUCACAGGAAUCGAGCCGCCCGUCGUCGGAUCUCGAAGAAGGCAAUGAAAUUCAGGUGCUUUUCCUUCUUAUCAAGUAAACAAAAACAAAACAAAAACUAUUUGAUGAAUAUUGUUGCUGACUCUGCUACUGUCGCUGUAAACCGCAGCCGGGGAAUGUUGGAUUCUGUAGAGUUCUGCGGUUGGUAUGUUUGUGCUCUCUCUCUGCUGUUCUUCUUUAGUAGUUCAGGGUAUGUAUCAUGUAUGUAUGUACGUAUGUAUUUAUUUAUUUGUGGAGUUGAGUUUUUUGCUUGCAGGCAAAACCUGAUGCAGGGAAGCUGGCUCUGGCCACCAUAGCAUUAUUGAUAGCUUCUCUCAGCAACAUUCUAAUUGUAGGUAUUUCUCUCUCUCUUAGUCUCUUUCUCUCUCUCUCUUUAAAAAAAAAAAAAAAGGAGAAAAGAAAAAGAACAUUCUAGUUGUAGGUGUUCCUUUUUUUUAAAAAAAACUUGUUUUCAUGCACUUUUAUUUGUUUGAUUGCUUUUCGGUUUGUAUUUUGAUUUCCCGAGCAAAGAGAAAUCACAAUAUAUGUUCAAGUUUUAUGUCGGCAUCUGCAGUUGCUGGGUCAUUACGGAGAGGAAAACAGGCGAUCUAGAUUACCAAGAUUUCUAGCCAAUAUAUGGCAUGUAGCAAGCAAUUAUCAAUUUCAUAAAAUCAAGAGUAGAAUGAUCGAGGAACGAUCCACUUUUUAGUUUUUCUCCCCCAAAUACCGAUGGUUGUUCUCUAUGAUAAAUUUGCAAGUGCAAAGUCUUUUUUGGAUCAUUGAAUUGUACUUCUUAGCAUAAGUUAUGAGUAACUUGGGAUUACUCUUCUUCUAAUAGUGUAUUUGGGGUAGCAUGUGUGUUUUCAUGUGUUUUAUAUAUUUCUUUAGAUAAGCAGUCCUAUUGAUAUAAUCACAAGUCAAUGCGGCAAUCCUUAUUGGUUUUGACAACUUGCCUUACGUUGAAAGUUGAAACAUCACUAAUUUUGCAGCUUUUACAUAUGCACUUUCCAUUUGUGUGGGAAGGAGUAAGAACCAUAAUCUAGAGAUACCAUCAGUAGGAAAAUGAAACUGACCAGCAUGUAAGAUCUAGAAGCUGUCUACUGCCUAAUUGACAAACAGCUUGAAAUUGACAUAGACAUGAUUUCCAGUAAAAUAACAAGAAGCAGCAGCAUUUGUAGAUGGGGGAGCUUGAAAUGAUUUCUAAUACAUAUAUAUUAUUAUGUCGUUCAAUCAAAAGUUCCAUAUUCUAUGUUUCAUACUAAAGAGCAAAGCGAUCUUCAUUGCUCAUUGCUUUUAAUCUCAACUGCAGCCUAAAUAUGGUGGGAAGAUAAUAGACAUUGUGUCAAGAGAUGCCCGAGAACCUGAAGAACAAGCUGCAGCUUUAAAUGCUGUGAAGAACACCAUAUUGGAAAUUGUGAUAAUCGUUGUAGACGGGUAUGAACUACAGAAACGUUUUUGCACUUUUGAUUUUCGUGUUGAUAUGUGCCGCACACCAUACGCUCUGCUUUUGGUUAUCAUUGUACUAUAUUAUGUUUCUCAGGAUUUUAGAAAAAAUUAUGUUUUUCUCAUUGAUUCUAUUUGCUACUUCAUACAUACAUUACAAUGCCAAGAAAGUUGAUCAUUUCAUUUCUCUUUGUAUGGAGGUUGUUAUCUUGUAAAUCGAGCCUUCAAAGUCGAGAAAAUACUAAUCUUACUGAUUGUUUAGUAGAUCUGUACAAAAGCCUUGUCACUCCAUUUGAUCCUAUUCUCUAUCUAUUUUUUUUCUACAUCAAGUAUAAAUUUUAUCGUAUAGAAAAAUUCUAUUUUUUAAUAUUCAAGAUAACAAAAUUAAAAUUUCAUCUAGUUGACCUCCCCUUUUUUAGAGGGUUGUGUGGCCCACAAAUUUUUUUAGAAUUUUUUUUAGGAUUAAUUGUAUAGUGCUUCCCAAACUUUCCACCAUUUUUUUUAUUGUUCCUAAACUUUUUCAAACAUCUUAAUUUUAUCGCGAUAAAAUAGCAACCGUUAAAAAAAUUUUAGAAUUAACGAAAUUAUCAUGCCAUCGCCAUUUAACUUUUUUUUGCAUGCCAAUUUUAAAAAAAAUUUAGAAUUAACGAAAUUAUCAUGCCAUCGCCAUUUAACUUUUUUUUGCAUGCCAAUUUUGAUCCCUAAAUUUUGCAUAUUUUUUACUUUAGUCCCCAAAAUAUAUAUGAAUUGACAACACUAAAAAAGGCAUCUUCUUAUUUUAGAGUGUUGUGGGUCCACACAAUUUUUUUAAGAAUUAAUUUUUAUAAUAAUAAUAUAAUAAUAUUAGAUUAUUUAUUUGGAGGGUCCACACUAAAAAAGGCAUUCUCUAUCUAUUUCCAAUAUGGUGUUCUUCACGAUUUUGUUUUGCCCGAUAUGAUCGCCGAUUUGUGACGAAACUCAUCCUCUCUCCAAAUUUUUUCAUACACCACACAUAGACAUAUGUGUAAACUCAAUAAACCUUAAAUUCAAAUUCGAAUUUGAAUUCCCUACCACUAGUAGGUACCUAAAACAUUCCUCACCCUACUCUAGGUCACAUGCACAGAGCAUGAGGAGUUUUAUAAUGCAGAACAGCAAAGAAUGAAAACCCUUUUUUCGAUAAAAUCUCUUUUUCUCGAAAAUCAUGCAUCAAAAUCCAAAUCCGUCAGUGCCAUUGGGUCCUGGACAGUUGAACCGUUGAAAACAAGCUAUUGGAUCACUACAAACGGAGUCCAAUACACACCAGAAGCCAUCUCCAUUCAUUGGCUUCUCCGAAAAAUCGAAGUUACUAUUCACUUUAAAUGAUUAGUAAAGAUCGUGUAAUUUCUCCAUCCUAACUCAUUUUCUCCUGAAACUUGACGAGUGCUUAUAUAAUUAAAUUACACACAUAACAUUAUCAACAGAGAGUUUAGCUACUGUCACACUCCGGAUUACACGUUCCCCAGGCAUGCCGACAAAUUCGCCGUACACAAAGAAAUUUUUUCUGUAUACGAAGCAUAGCUGUACCUGUAAUACAUACAAUACUACAACCAGUAGUAUAGAGCUGCUCGACUAAAAUUGGCAUAAACAGGAAUAAGUUCCAUAUACAUACGUACAUCCAGGUAACAAAAAUGCUCGCCUAUACAACAAGUAUGUAUAAGAAACUCAAAAACUAGCACUACCUGCAGCUGGUAACCUCUCGAACAGCAGCAACUGGGAAGGGCUCUAACUGGCAAUGCCCUUGCUACGAUCAGGAUCAGCAGUAGCAGCAGCCGAAGAUGAUGGCUUUGCAAAACGAAAGGGAACAACAUGGCGUGAGAACUACUGUAAAAAUAAGUAAUCAUCAGUGGGUACCGCCUUCAAACUCAUCGGUCCACCCACUAAGCUUACAGGAAUAAGCAGGAAUAGUAAGAAAAGCUGGAAUAAAUCUACAGUUAAAUGCCACUAUACUAUCAUGCUCUAAAUCUAAUCAUCUGUAGAACAAAGUCAUCUCAGACCCAAUCUCAAAAAGAACUAUAAACAUAUCCGUCCAUGGGACUGUGAACACACCUGUUCCGCCCGGUUGCGAGUAUACAGCUACCUCCACACUAAGCAGUCAGUGGAGAGCGAGUCCAACCUGCACGAACGACACCAAUACAAAAUCACAGCGCCCGCCUCCGGAGUAGCAUUCGUUGGAGCUAUCCAACCGAGUAUGCAAGCGUAUCUCUGUCGAGCUCAAUCAGGCUCUCACAAGCCAAAGUCAAGUAGAUAAGGUCAAAAUAGGUCUAGAAACCAAACCCACGUGCCUUUGGCACAAUCUGAGACCAAAAAUAGAAAUCUGGGUCUACCGUCAACCCCGACAGCCCCCAACAGUCCGGAACAGUCUAAACACUACUAUAAAAAUACACUCGACAUCCCAACACGAGCGUAACAGAGAUCUAAACUACCUUGGGUAUCCACCACGCCGAUACUGCGGCGAUACAAAAUACAACGACUCCUAGAGCUAAAUCAGAUAGUUUAAGCAUAUGACAGAUUCAAAACGCUGGUUUUUUCCUAAGUCAGUUCCCAAGUCCAACAGAUAUAAUGUAAGUACAUACUAAUCAAUGAAUUUUAGCAUGAUAUACAAGAACUGAACCGACAAUCAUACACGGCGACUAACAUGCAUGUAGAAGCAAAACCGUUGAAACACCCACCUCAAAAGCUAAAUCUUGGUAGCAAGGAGAUCACUCAGCUGUGGAACACCCUGUCGGAACCAGCCGCACCUGUUCUUAGCCGGCAAUGAUCCACAAUCAAGAACUGAUCAUCAAAAUUCAUUAAAAUCCAUCAAUUCCACAAUUUCAGCACUUAAGCUUAAAAUUCACCAAACUUCAAUAUCAAAACUCAUCUAAAGAUCUCCAAAUCAGAUGAGGAUAGUCCCAAAUCCAGUGAAUAAUGAUAGAGGGUGAGUCUCAAGUCCAAAGUCUACUGCUUCCAAAGAUAGCAUUGAAGAACAUCAAAUAAGCUCAAAAUCAGCUUCACUGUGGCAGCAGUCCAGAAAACUCUUCAUUCGACCAUACUAACCUCCACCAAAUUCAGUGAAAUUGGGCUCCACGGAUUUCUCUUGAAGUCUACAAUCUAGCAAAUCAAGUUUCGUGGAAAACGGAGCUUCCUACAUCGCACACGAGCCGAAACGCUAACGGUCGCUGCUGAAAAACUGCAAAAUCAGCACUUCACUACCUUCAAAUUGAGGAAAUUGGAUGCAAUUGGAGGGACUUGAUGCAAAAUGAGCUCCUCAGUGAAGGAGGGGAAGAAGACCAGCAAUGCCCUGUCUCUCUCCCUCUCUACACUUAUGUAGAGGGAGUAGGUAGGGCGAAAGCAACGAGGUGGCCAAAGACCAAACAACCCCUCACUUACCCCGGGUGUACCGGUACACGGGCAUUUGUACCGGUACAAAUGGCAACUUGAGAGCAGUCUGUGCGGAGACAUGCGCUAUGUACUGGUACACUUCUGAUAUUGUAUCGGUACAGCAAGAUGUACAGGUACGCAUUGAUGGUUGUACUGGUACAGCAAGUAGAAAAUCUGCAUUUUGCAGAUUCCUGUGCUAACUCAUGCCCUCGCGUCUCCAUUUAGUCCGUUCGGCGUCCAUUUCGUGCCAACGUGACUUGCACUUGUCCCGACACUCUCCCGACGUGUCGACAAGCCUCACCUGCUGUACACCAGGGAUACCACAGCUAUACAACCAAAUUUUCAGUCCUUAUAUUUAUAAGUAGUAUAUAAGAAAACUUUUUAUGGCCAGAUAUAGAGAUCUAAAAUUUAAUUUAUCUAUAUGAUCAAUUGGACAAUAAUUUUUUUACUAUAUUAUGCAACUAUAAAAAAAUUAUUAAAUUAUAAAUAUUCACUAAUAAUUUAUUUAAAAAUUAUAUAUUACAUAUCAAUCAUAUUCGACCUUAAUUAUUUUGAAAAAAAUAUUUUUUUAUUUUUUUAGAUAUAUGACGUGCAAUCUACUAGUAAAUUAUAAAUAAUUAUAAAGUGAAAAAAUAAAAAAAAAAUUGUGAAGUAUGUGAGAGAGAGUGAGAGAGAGAGAAAAACAAAAGUGGGUUCCCUACCCAAGAAAGUGUAUGAGAGAGAGAAAAAAAAAAAAAACAAAGUGGGUCCCACAGGCCCCUAAACCAGGCGAGGUUAUAAAUAAAGAGAGUGUUUGGAUUAGGUACAAGAGGGGGAUAAGAAGGUCAUCCUCCCUCUUAUACCCAAACACUUUUAUUGAUGGGUGGGAACAAGUUAUUUCCACCCAGGUAUAGGGGUGGGAAUAACUUGUUCCCACCUAGGUAUAGAACAAGGGGUGGGAACAAGUUGUUCCCACCCCCAACCGGACAGUAGUUGUUCCCAUCCCCAACCGGACAGAGAGAGAUUUUUAUUUUAAAUUUAAAUUUAAAUUUUUAAAAUUUAUAAUUUUAAAAUUUAAAUUUAAAAUUAUGAAUUUUAAAGUUUAAAUUUUAAAUUUGAUAUUUUUAAAUUUUAAAUUUUAAAUAUGAUAUUUUUAGUUUUUAAAUUUUAAAUUUGAUAUUUUAUAUCUUUGAAAUUUAAAUUUGGUCUUAAAUUUAAAAUUUGAUAUUUAAAAUUAAAAUUUUAAAUUAUAAUUUCAAAAUUUAAAAUUUAAAAGUUAAAAUUUUUAAUUUAAAAUUAUAAGUUUAAAAAUUUAAGUUCAAUUAUAAGAGGUAUAUCAUUAUUUUCUAUUUAUAACUACUAACUAUUCUACCUUAUACUCAUAUUUUCAUUCAAACAUAAUUUUUUUAGUUCUAACUUAUACUCAUAUUUUUAUUCAAAAAUUUUUUUUUUUAUUCCUACGAAAAUCCAUAAUUAUAUUUAUCCCCGGUAUAACUAGUUCUCGCUUAUACCCGAACCAAAUGAAGCAAGAAGGUUUCCAAAAAAAUAAAGUGGGUCCCACUAUAAAUAAAGGGUUUCAUAGCCGUCGCUCUCGGAAUUGUGCUCUCCCGCGACCCUCCAUUGUUUUCGCCUUGAGGUUUGCAAUUAUACUUGAUUUGAGAUAUGGUUGUUCUCUUCGACGCAUAGGUGUUGGAUUAGGAUCUCUACCUUAAUUUCUUCUUAUUUUAGGAUUAUUUUUAGAUAUUUAUUUUGAUUGGAAUUAGAAUA